AGAUAACAACAUGAAACCAUCAAAAAUUAUAGAUACGUUUGAGACGUAUCAGUCACUACUUGAUAUCCCACCUAUGAAUUCCUCAAAUAUCUGGUCAUGCAAUGUGGUACACGGAUACAAGGGGUAAUUUUUCACAAAACUCCUAUACUAACCCAUCCAAUGUAUCACAUCCGUCAACACAUAACUAGAAUCUCGGACCUUCAUCUACUACAGAUCCUCGUGAUCACAACGAUACAAAGUAUGGCAGUACUCCCAAACAAUCUGCACCAGUACUUGGGACAUCGGGGUUAUCUCGCCACUACUAGUAUUGAAGCAAUUACGAACAUCCUUCGUUCUAUGAUACUCAGAAAUCUGAAUGAUGGCGAUGUGCACAAGAAUCCCCUGGAGCUCAACUCCCCGGAAGAAAUCAAGGCAGACAGGAGGCACCAAGACAGAACUCCGUCACAUCGAUAUCAUAUAGACUUCAAAAUACCUGCAUGAUCCUAAUUAAGAUUUCCUAAGUCGAGAACCUCACCAGAGCAUGGAAGAGGAGAAAAAAGAAACCUACUCUCUGAUAUAACUAAGAGUCAAAACAUUUUACUAGACUCGACUCGGCCAAGUACGAUCACACAAAGGCUCCUAUGGUCGUAAGGCUCUCAUUACAAACUUGUAACGACUAAGAUGCAGUCCUUUCCUAUUUAGGGAGCGAUGCCCCAAAAUGAAAAGAAGCGCAUCUAUGCGUUUCGCAAGCAAGAUAAACAUAGCACAUAUAUAAUUUAAGAAUGACAAAUAGGGAAUCGUUUGCCAUCUUACAUAGAUAAUAUCAGAGUUUACAUCCACACAUUUAUUCAGACAAUGUAGUUCCGCUACAGACUACAUAACAUAAGAAACAAGGCUAUGCUAUCCCGCAUGCUUGCCCACGAUCACGACCAUGCCUCAGUCUUCUGGAUAGUUCACGUACAGGCGAUCGUUCUCCUCAUCGUACUGCCACGCCAGCUGCGUGCCAUCUGGAUCACCUGCGUCGGGCGUACCUGCACCUGUUGGGGUGUUGAAGUAAUCUGUGAGCCACGGGGACUCAUCAAUCUAUGACCUUGGUAUCGAAACUAGUCAAGUCAUUAGGUGAGGAAGGUUCAGUGUUUAGGUUGUAGCAUCCUAAGCAUUUAUGGUGGCUAACUUACGAAGAUCAAAGUUAUAGAUGUGGUGGUCUACGCGAGCGGUCGAAGNNNNNNNNNNNNNNNNNNNNNNNNNNNNNNNNNNNNNNNNNNNNNNNNNNNNNNNNNNNNNNNNNNNNNNNNNNNNNNNNNNNNNNNNNNNNNNNNNNNNGCCGGCCAUGGCGGGUGCUCUGCUCGGGAACGCCCUCGACGGCGCCAGAGAGGAGAAGAGGGGAGAAACGGGAACCCUAGGGUUGCGGGGAGGCGCCGGGCUCCUUAAAUGGACUCGGGAGGCAUGCUAGGCAUCGCUAGAUCGGAGGAGAAAGGGGGAUCGGUCGUGGAGCUCCUGUCGUACAAAAGUGACGGCAACGAGGUAGGAGACGGACGCGCUGGCGGGCUGGCUAGCGAGAGGAGGGAAGAGAUGGGCCAGCAAGAGGAAAGAGCCCAUCUGGCUGCGCUGGAUAAGGAAAAGAAAANNNNNNNNNNNNNNNNNNNNNNNNNNNNNNNNNNNNNNNNNNNNNNNNNNNNNNNNNNNNNNNNNNNNNNNNNNNNNNNNNNNNNNNNNNNNNNNNNNNNNNNNNNNNNNNNNNNNNNNNNNNNNNNNNNNNNNNNNNNNNNNNNNNNNNNNNNNNNNNNNNNNNNNNNNNNNNNNNNNNNNNNNNNNNNNNNNNNNNNNNNNNNNNNNNNNNNNNNNNNNNNAAGAGGAUUUUUGGAGCACUUAAAUAUUUACAAAACAUAAUUAAAUUAAUCUGUUUUGUGAAUAAAAACCCUACUAAAGCAAAGAUUUAAAAUACCCUAGACAUAGCACCACAUCCACAAUGAAACACUCUAAAUGAUCUACAUUUUUGAACGAGGCUUAGAGCAAGUAAAUCUUGAGCUUGAGAAAUAAAGAAGGGUUUUUUUGAAACCUAGUUGAAAACUAUCAUAGUUGAAAUCCAACUUUCAAACACCACUUCAUCAUCACAUAGCACAUCAACAUCNNNNNNNNNNNNNNNNNNNNNNNNNNNNNNNNNNNNNNNNNNNNNNNNNNNNNNNNNNNNNNNNNNNNNNNNNNNNNNNNNNNNNNNNNNNNNNNNNNNNCUUUAAAAAGGAUCAGCCAAGAGUCAUUCCUUCAAAGAAAACUAUGGUGUAACUAAUGGGCAUAAUAAAACUGCCCUGAAAAUUGGCCACAAUGUUUAGAGUCCCCUAAACUAUCAAUGUAGUAUACAUAUACAUGAUUCUUUAGCAACGAAACGCAAACAAUCAAAUAUCAGAAAAAGGAAACAAACAUGUCUUGUGCCUUCUGAAAGGUAAGGGUUGCGGUCGGUGAUUGGAAGUAGAACAUGCUUAACUUGGGAUAGAGCAUCAAUCGCUAAAGCACUUGGAGAUUCAUUCACUUGAGCCCUUACUGGUUACAAACAAAGUUGCAAACAGACAUCAAACGGUAGGCAAACAUAUAUAAAUAAAUAAAGGUUGUUCAUUAAAUUUUCUUUAUAGGUGCUGUUAAUUUCCAGUUUGAUUACAAUUUCCCCUGGUAAGUAGAAAACCAAAACAUGGCCAGGAUUCACUGCAAUCCACUAACUUGGGUGCAGCAAACGAAGGCUACUACAUUGUCAGGAUUCAGGAACGAGCAGAAGCAUAAGUAGGCUUGGUCCGACACAAACAUUCUAACAUCAUAGUAAAAUCAUUACUGGCAACCCGACUUCAAAUCAGAUUGAAGGACAUAGUUUUUUAAGGGCGAAAGAACUAAUCUUGAGCACACGGAGUGACAGCACGAAGCCACGGCCUAGCAAUUAGCAUAGUAAAUCUCAGGCCGACUCCAGUGGGAGCCGCGUGUGGGGCGCACCUCUGGUGCGCCUCUUGAGACGUUCCUAUGCGUUCAUAGGUCGUCUACGGACUUCAGAGUUCCUGUUUUGAUCAAAUAGUGACCUAACUAUAAGGUAGAUGUUAUCACCAACCAAUAUAAACACUGGACAAUGUUUCAUAUGAGAGUUUGUUAAAAAAAUAGAAUCCACACUCUUUAUAUUGAUCUGAUCAUACUAUAGGAGGUCAAUGAUUUGGCAAGUGAAUAAUCCACAUAUGAAUAACAAUAUACAAUUCCAUCAGAAAUAAGGCCCUUGCACCCUUGUAAAUCUCAUGAUGCAACAACCCCAAAGAUUACGACCGUAUUGAGCUUCUCUCGUUAGCAUGGACGAGAUGAUGUCGGGGAAGGCUUUGAUGCCCCAAUCGUCCUGGUCCGACAACGCAUAAAUCCGCCGAAGGCGAAAAACCAUCAUUGUAGUCAGUUUUAGACUAAUUUCAGAGUUCAUACAAGUACAGUACUAUAAACAAGCCUGCAACUUUGAUGCUCACCAUAUGUUUGUACCAGUGUCUCCCCAUGAGCCUUUCUCCAUUGGCAAGUCUCGCUCCACCAUCAUCUAUUGGUCAUUGAUCUCUCUGACUUUCAGUGUGCGUUCCCUCAUGUUAUGCCCCCACUUUUUGUGCUUGCAUCAUGUGUUGUCACGAGGACAACACAUAGUCCACGUGUCAAGUAAUUGUUGGAGCUGCUUCUACAGACCACACUUAAUGAUAAUUUCAUGAAAACCUGUGUAUCAAUCAAUAAGAAGCGAGUCUAUAUCAUGAUUUUGUUUUAGUUUCCUUGAUGAAACUAAAUGAGGGAACUACCCUGUGUGUCCAAAAGUUGCAUAUCUCAGUUGCCAGAAGAGAAGAUACCUCCCAUUUGGACGCGUAGGAUACAUAAUUGAAGGGAAUGAUCUGAUCCCAUCAUCUGCAAGUCUCCAGGCAGUCAGACACGAGAUGCUCGCCAAUGCAUGAUUACCCGAUAAACCAGAUGCUCGCCAAUGCAUGAUUACCCGAUAAAAUGGGUUAGUCAGCGCUGUAGUGAACUUUUUGUAUUUUAAAAGAUAGCUCGCUCAGUACAUGCUACAUGUUUGUGGAACAAAGGGUCUCCGGACAGCUCCAUCCAAACAAAAUCAUGNNNNNNNNNNAUGAAAAUGCAUGAGCAACCAUAUUUACGGCAGAUGCUAGAGGAAUAAUAGUAAGACGAGUUGUAAGUAUAUGGUUUGCUAGCCUACUGUUCUGUUUCUUUAAAAAUGAAUUCGAACAAUGCUAAAGAAAGGGAGAACAUAUUUUCAGGCUUAUGCGCCAUCAAAAACGUUUUCACUUACAUAGUCCAUAAGAGAUGUCAAGUGAAGGGACUCCAAUGUACUCGACAAAAGCUGCAAAGUCUGUUCCCCCACCGGCCACUCUUGCAAUGUGAGAAUAGGAGCUUAAUACUUAAGUAUGUUUAAUUUCAAUCAUAUGAAGCUUUCAUGAUCACUCAUUCCCACAACGGAAUUAUAUGACAAUUCCAUCACUGUACCCACCGGAGGAUUCUGGCGAAUCAUGUAGUCAUACAAGGUAUGAGACUGAUCAUCACGAUCGGGUACCUUCAAUCAAGAAUAAAAAGGAAAGGAUCAAAUAAUUAAAAAAAUGGAAUAUAUGUAAACAAAUCUCUAAUUUGUACUGAGUGCUGCUCGUGAAGUUAAAUUCUAUGCUUAAAGGCUUUAGGUGCAGAGCUAAAAUACCAUUCUGCUUUCUUCCUUGAUCAAUUCAUCGAGUUAUGGGGUUACACGGGUCAUAAGACCAAUAGACCCAAACGCUGAUAUGUCUACGUUCAUAUAAGCAAUAUCUCUUGAAGUAACAUAUCCACGUUCUACUCGUCCCAUUUCGUAGACCCUAUAUGAGAGGCCGGGACAUUGGAUUUUUCUAUGCUUUAGAGCUUACAUUUGCAGAUAAGAAAACAUCUAAGAGCAUGCCAUCAAUAACAUAUGAGCACAAACUCUUCUGCGUCCCAAAUGUAGACGAUGAUUGUUCUACUUGGCCUCCAUCCUUUCUUUUCCAGCUUGGACAACCUCACUGCAAUCUAUAAACAAAAGUAGGGUAUUGGCAUUAUCCUCAAUUUAUCAAAUAUGCUUAGCAUUCAAAACAUCUCAGUAGUCGGUAAGAUUGAUUACCUCAAGAGCAUAGUUAUUGUUCCCCUUUUGGGAUCGAGUGCCCCAAAUAUAUGGGUAUCACGAUGAUUGAGUUCUUUAGUACAUUCUUUCAUAUGCUGGCUCCACAAAGCAAAUAUAACCUAUUUAGCAGCACACUUUCAACAGAAGAAGUACAUCAUGAUUGUUUGGUUGUAACUGAUUUACCUUGUCUUGUGUUUGCCCAUACAAAUGGACCAGCAUCAUUUAUAACAACUCAGCUAUAAGAUUAUCUAGUAGGGUGGAUCAGUAUCAUUUAUAAGAACUUCUCAUGCCAUAUAAGCUCAUCUGGUAGUUUUGCCCGAGGCAACCAGAAACACAAAGAUAGUAAAUAUGGAUACUUAGUCUAGAUAGUACAUAGGCUAUCAUGGAGCACAGACUUGCCUUAGUUUCAGAAUCGCAGUAACACCACUCUGAAGCACCGGUGGAGCGACCUGCAACGUUAAAGAGCCUACAGAAAAUCAAAUUAGCACAAACCUUCUCUACUAUGUAACAAAUUCAGUAACAAAUGUUCCAACCUGGAUCUGCAUGCCCAUAAGUGAUCUUUCCACACACAUUCACAUACAAGAUACAACAAGCAGUUUGAUCUAGUAUAUGAUUUAGCUAGUUUUUGAGUUGGCCAAAAAUCUGGAGAGUUGGUCGCGACUUACCAAUUGAGGCCAAAAUCCUAGUCUUCGAUGAGUACUUCACCCAGUUCCAGGAAACAUCAGUUGGCCAAAAGGGAAGAAAACAAUUUGGAUGAAUCGCUGAUCUGAAGGAAAAUUUAAAUAGGGUUGAGGCCGAAGAAACUUCUUGACGGAUCUUAUCAUCCGGAGCCGGCUUCUUCGACGUCAUUGCCAUCGGUUGCAUAAAAAAACAGUUGAUUCACCUCCCAAACAUACAUGGAUCCAUCUACGGUACUGGAGGGGAGGGGGCAAAGGGGUCAUCUUGCGUACCUUAUCCAUGCUUCAGAUUGUGUUGGAUGGUCAUUCGCGCCACCACGAGGAACACAGAGAGGCAGUCGCCGCCGGCUGACUUGCCGGCGUCGAGGUAGAUUUUAUAUAUGUUUAGCAUAAUGAACUUUCUUUUUUGUUUUUUCAACAUGAACUUUGUAAGUUUUGCAGACUAAACUUUCUGUCUUUUUUUAGCACAAACAACCUUGCCUAUGCAACAGCAACAAGCAAACAGAGUAGCACAAAGAAAGCAACACCAUCACCUACACGAGUAGCACUAAGUUUUUGCAAAUUGUGGGAAUGGAGUGCAGUGCACACACACGACUCGCAACAUAGACGAUUAGAAGCACAUAAGAGGUGGUAAGCAGCCUUAUUCUUCACUACAUGAAACAUUAUUUUCAAUAAAGAGCUGAUGAAAUAGUGUAUCAUAGUGAAAAUUCAAUUAUGAUUCAAAAGAAAUUUAGAACAAGCUGUGGCACAAGUCCAUAACAUGAAGAACAUUCAUUGUUAGAAGACUUUGAGGAGCACUCCCACAGGAGAGGGCACAACGUUUUUUUCGCGCAGAGGCCUGGACUCAAAGCUCUGCAAUAGGGGAGGAGCUGCGGCCAAGAAACUUGAACUGUAGUGGAAAUUAACCAAGGUGAUGCACCAACGACGAAUUUGGCUAUAGCUCUGACCCAUGAACAUCAUGUGGAGGCGUAGUUGACCUGCAGUAGUAUGGGGGAGAUCUCGAUGGGAGGAGGAAGAAGGUCACCCCGGUCGGCGAUGAAGCUCCGGCUCGUGCUCUCCUCGACGGACACCGAGCUGUGGCCGGCGAGGACCGCUCCUUGACGGGUGUCAGCUCCUUAAGGGCGAGCUGGUGGCAGCGGAUCUGGGAGUCGAAGGUGGUUGGGGAGGAGGCGGCGGACCCGGGAGGCGAAGGUGGUUGGGGAGGAGGCGGCGGGAGGCGACGGUUGUUGGGGAGGAGGCGGCGGAUCCGAGAGGCGACGGUGGCUGGGGUCUUCAGAUCCAGGUCGAGGGCGGCGCGCGUCACCAUUGCCGGCGGGGGUGGUUUGGUGGCCCGGGAUCCGCGUGUGGUGGGUGCAGCGGCCCGCGGGGGCUGUGGCCAACAGCCGCCGGGAGCACGGGAGGGCGGAGGUUCCUCUGCGCCCGCUGGAGCCGGCGGUGUCACCAUUUGCGGGGUGGGGGUUGUGGGGANNNNNNNNNNNNNNNNNNNNNNNNNNNNNNNNNNNNNNNNNNNNNNNNNNNNNNNNNNNNNNNNNNNNNNNNNNNNNNNNNNNNNNNNNNNNNNNNNNNNUUCGUUGCUAUGAAUUACAAUGUUUAGUCAGCCCUUGAUCUUUGAAAGUGCUCUCCAUUUAUGUUUUGCGGUCCCAGAAAGAGCUAGCGAGAUACCACCUAUUCAUAUUGCUUCAUGCUUGUUUUGAUUGAAGUGUUGGUAUUUGAAACUCAUUAUUAUUUGCUCGUUAGCUGAUUAUGCCAUUGAUAUUAGUUUACCGUGAGACCUUUGUGUCAUUUGCUUAUGUGGUUAACUUGAGAUCUUGCUGAAAUUCUGGUUAUGAGUUAGACAUAGUUGCGACAACAAGAUCAAACAAAGUUUGUCAAAGUUUUUCUUUCUCUCUCAGUUUUCAACUGAGUUGCUUGAGGACAAGCAAGGUUUUAAGCUUGGGGGAGUUGAUACGUCUCCAUCGUAUCUACUUNNNNNNNNNNNNNNNNNNNNNNNNNNNNNNNNNNNNNNNNNNNNNNNNNNNNNNNNNNNNNNNNNNNNNNNNNNNNNNNNNNNNNNNNNNNNNNNNNNNNNNNNNNNNNNNNNNNNNNNNNNNNNNNNNNNNNNNNNNNNNNNNNNNNNNNNNNNNNNNNNNNNNNNNUUGUUUUCAGCAGAAUUGCCUUGGUGUUAUUUUUGUGCAGAAAUCAGAGUUCUGCUAACAUCCUGAAAAUUUACGAAGAUCAUUUUUGGAAAAUAUGAAAAAUAUCUGCGCCAAGUUCCACCUGAGGGGGUGGGCCAGUAGGCCAGAAGCCCUGGCUCCGCCACCACCUCACCUGGUGGCGGUGGGCAGGCUUGUGGGGCCCGCAUGGCUCUACCGCCCCCAAUUCUAGCUCUAUAAGUUCCCUUUCAUCCCAGAAAAAAAUAAAAAGAGAAGAUUUCGUCGCGUUUGCGAUACGGAGGCACCGCCACAACCUGUUCUUCAUCUCGAUGGCAGAUCUGGAGUCCGUUUUGGGCUCCGGAGAGGCGAAAUCUUCGCCAUCGUCAUCAUCAACCUUCUUCCCUCUCCAAUUCCAUGAAGCUCUUCGUCGUUCGUGAGUAAUCUAUCCGUAGGCUCGCUGGGCGGUGAUGAGUAGGAUGAGAUCUGUCAUGUAAUCGAGUUAGUUUUGAUGGGGAUUGAUCCCUAGUAUCCACUAUGUUCUGUGAUUGAUGUUGCUACUACUUUGCCAUGCUUAAUGCUUGUCAUAGGGCCCGAGUGCCAUGAUUUCAGAUCUGAAAUUAUUAUGUUGUCACCAAUAUAUGUGUGUUUUAGAUCCGAUCUUGCAAGUUGUAGUUACCUACUAUGUGUUAUGAUCCGGCAACCCCGGAGUGACAAUAACCGGAACCACUCUCGGUGAUGACCAUAGUUUGAGGAGUUCAUGUGUUCACCAAGUGUUAAUGCGUUGAUCCGGUUCUUUAUUAAAAGGAGAACCUUAAUAUCCCGUAGUUUCCUUUUGGACCCUUCUGCCGCGGGAGGGAUGGACAAUAGAUGUCAUGCAAGUUCUUUUCCCUAAGCACGUAUGACGACACACGGAAUGCAUGCCUACAUCACAUUGACGAACGGGAGUUAGCCACAUAUCUCUCUGUGUUAUAACUGUUGCAUAAUGAAUACAAACCAAACAAAUCACCGACCCAUUGCCUACGAGUUUGUCCUACUGCUGCUGUUACUUGUCUUGCUCUGCUGCUGUUACUACUGUUGCUGCUGUUGUUACUUGUCUUGCUCUCCUGUUACUACUGUUGCUGCUGUUGUUACUUGUCUUGCUCUCCUGUUACUACUGUUGCUACUGCUGUUACUUGUCUUGCUCUGCUGCUAUUAUUUGUCUUGCUAUGUUGCUACUGUUGCUACUACUGUCGUUUGCUACUGUUGCUACUUGCUACUGCUGUCACUACUGCUAUUCCUCGCCACUUCCGUUACUCGCUACUUUGUUGUUACUACUUUGCUUGCAGGUACUAAUCUUUCAGGUGUGGUUGAAUCUGAUAAAUUCAACUGCUAAUACUCGAGAGUGUUCUCUCACCUCCUGUUUUGGCGAUCAACAAAUUUGGGUCGAAUACACUACCCUCGAAAACUGCUACGAUCCCACGCGCUGGUGGGCCGUCAACAACAUUCUUCUAGUUUCGAUUGCCAGAGAGUGCUAGCAGCAUUCAUCUCGUGCCGUUGCAAGGGGAAGAACAGUUGACAUCAUGAGCCAACUUGUUGGUUAUAGUUAGUGAGAUUAUUCAUGCGCAUCAACGACAACGCUCCCUUAGGUCGUAUUUGGUUGAGCUACACAUUUUGUAAAAGCUGAUGUGAGCCGUGAGUUGUGAAAAAGUUGUUGUGAACUUUUAGCUGUGGAAAAGCUAGAAGCUGUUUGGCUGAAAUAGGAGUGAAACUGUAGAUUUGUCUGUGAAUUAUGUGUAACGACCCCGUGCAAUGAUUCAAUACUUUUAUGUGCAACUUGACCGUAAAAUAGUGUCAAGAACAUUGGUACGCAAUAGAAUAACCGUUUUGCAAAGGAAAAUUAUGACAAUUUAGACGAUUAAGAGCUAACACAUAUGAAAUCACAAACAUAUCUAUCUAUUCUAUUAUUUCUUUCUAUCUAUUCUACUCUACACUUCUUCUUCGGUACAACCCCCCCCCCCAAGCACAAGGACGGCUGAGAUUAAACGAUACCCCUUCAUAAGAAAGGCCAGGAUGGUCUUGUCCCCCCGUCCUGACGUACGCGCGUCAGCCCGACGGGCGCCAGCUGACGAACUAGCGCCGUACCGGAGCCCGAAUACGCGUCGUACCCGCAUCCACCCGGCGUGACGUGGCGUCUUCACGUCGGCCUGACCGCGGUCAAUCCGUCGGUUCCUGAGGCCGCUCCAUUAAUCGUGCGUUGCGUCGCCAGUUUGUCGUGUCGGUUCCCAAAGCCGCCGCCAUUGACCACCGCGUCAACGCCCCGUCGCCAGUUUAUCGCGUCGGUUUCCAAAGCCCCCGCCAUUAAUCGCCGCAUCAGCGCCCCAUUGCCAGAUCGUCGCAUCACUUUCCGAUGCCGUCGAUAGCCCGUUGGUUCGCCGGCUCCCGAGGCGCCAUUAAUGGCGGCCGCGUCGUCAGAGCCCCGUUGCACCGGUUUCUGACGCUGUCGCCGCUGGCCCGCUGGUUGGACGGCUCCUGAGGCGACGCACAUUCACUCCCGGGGAGUAACGCCGGCCAACUACCCCGUUGCCCCCCCUUCUGUCACUGUGCUAUAUAUACCCGGCGUCCCGCGGCACGUCGGCACACCCGUCGCUCUCUCCUUCUCUCCCCUGCUCUCCGUCAUCUCGCCGCUGCUCCCGACGUUCUCUCCCCCUCUCCCCUGCUCUCCGUCGUCCGGCCGUUCCUCCCGACGAUGGCUCACGCCGGCGGCAGCACCUUCGGCUGUUGCGGCGCAUCGGAGAGCAACUGGUCCCAAAGCCUCGAGAAGCCGUUGACGGAGAGCUCCACGCCUACGGCCUCAUCGUCCCGCCGGGGUGCUGCCUCGCGAAACCGUGGAGGAUUUGCAAGGACGGCUACCCGACGCUGGACGACCCCGCGACGCCGGAGCAGCUCCGGAUCCAUCCCGGCGUCCGCCACAACAUCCGCACCCGCCACACGUAUUGGGAUGGAAAAAGUUACUACGACGUCAACAACCGUCACCGGCAGGCGGCGGCGACGGCGGGCAACACUGGCGGCAUCCAGCGUCGCCGUCGGGCGGCAAUCCCCCACCCACCGUUGGCGUUCCCGACGAUGGCCCCGACGGUGGCCCCGACGGAGUACGAAGUGCCGCCGGAACAGUUCGUCCUCCGCGAGGACGGCGACCCCGGCGACUCGCCGGGGCUACUCGUCGUCAUGCGGGCGGCUGGUAGAGCAUAUAUCUCCAUAUGUGGUUUUGGUAAUUGAUGAUAAUUCCUAUGGACUAAUGGUUGCCUUAAGUUACAUUUAUAGGAUUUGUCCAUAGGCACUUCUUGAAGUCCAUCUGUUGGGUUCAAGGAGUUUAUAUGAUGACCAAGAUGGUAUUCAAGGUAUUAUCCAAAGAAUGGUCAUAGAGACACAUGGUUGAUCAAGAUCUCAGACAAAGAGUAAAUCAAGAUGAUCAACACACAAAGCGUACAAGAUGUACCGAGAGGGANNNNNNNNNNCAACCCAUGAGCAAAUCAAGAUGAUCAACACACAAAGCGUACAAGAUGUACCGAGAGGGAUCAAGUGAUCCCAUGGUAUGGUAAGCAUUGUCUAUUACGUAUUUGUGUACUAACUCAUGGUCUUCGUGAGAGUUCUUUGUGGGGGUUAGGUGUGUUUCCAUGGGCUUGCGUCAAAGGGAAGAUCUCAUAUAACCCAUAAAGUAUGACGUCAAGUUGUGAUCGUCAUCAAGAUUGCGAUGUGCAAGUUCAAGUGGAUCAGCACGAAGAUAUCAUGCUUGAAGCUUGUCGUCCAUUGUGGUGGCAAUGGACUUGUGAAGAUAUGCUGAAGAGUGGCUCACCCAUAGUGAGUAUGGGGGAGCAAUCAACUAGUCUUCAUCAAGCCAACACAAUCAAGAAAGGUGGUCCAUCUUGAGGAAGCCAAGAUCAUCAUCAUCUAGCUCAAGAGGAGGAGGUGCAAGGUAUAGGUUUGCCCUUGAUAGGUUUUCUGUUUAGGAUAGAUUGCUGUACUAUCAAGGGGGAUCUCAAGUGAGUAGCUUGAUCGUAUCAUUCGUUGAGAGCUCAAACCAUUUGCAUCCUUGCAUCAUACUUCUUGGUUCUUGUUUGGUGUUUCUCUUUGUGAGUUUUAGAGCUUAUGGUCCUCUUCAUGACAAGUUCGAGUUCAUCGAAAGCGGAGUCCAUAUGCAACUACUAUGAUGUUUUCGAUGUUGGAGUUUUUGCCGGAUCUUCAUUCAUAGAGGUCUCACAUCUCUAGAUCAUUGGCAUUUUCAUAUCAGCAUGGUCUUAAGGUCGCUGUUUGGAUUGCUCUUGUCGUCCUGAAUCCAACAAGCUUGGGUUUGCUCGAUUCGGAGCUCGUAUGCGAAAGUUAUGGCUGUUUCAGUGGCGAGCGGUAGUACCGCUGGACCUAGCGGUAGUACCGCUGGACCUAGCGGUAGUACCGCUCGAGUUCGCGGUAGUACCACUAGCCCUAGCAGUAGUACCGCUGGCUGGCGGUACUACCGCCCCUGGUCAGCGGUAGUACCGCUCCAGGAGCUUAGUACCGCCUGCCUAGCGGUUGUUCGUGGACGGACCUUUUUGCGAAGACUUUCUUGGCGGUGGUAGUGCCGUUGCACUACCAGGGGCCCAGCGGUAGUACCGCUGGAGUGCCAGCGGUAGUACCGCUGCAGCCAGCGGUAGUACCGCUGGAGCUCGGGCAGAAAGUGGGGGUAACGGUCUGAUUCCUUCCCCNNNNNNNNNNNNNNNNNNNNNNNNNNNNNNNNNNNNNNNNNNNNNNNNNNNNNNNNNNNNNNNNNNNNNNNNNNNNNNNNNNNNNNNNNNNNNNNNNNNNAUUGCUAGGUCGUGGCUUCGUGCUCACUCCGUGUGCUCAAGAUUAGUUCUUUCGCCCUUCAAAACUAUUUCCUUCAAUCUGAUUUGAAGUCGGGUUGCCAGUAAUGAUUUUACUACAAUGUUAGAAUGUUUGUGUCGGACCAAGCCUACUUAUGCUUCUGCUGGUUCCUGAAUCCUGACAAUGUAGUAGCCUUCGUUUGCUGCACCCAAGUUAGUGGAUUGCAGUGAAACCUGACCAUGUUUUGGCUUUCUACUUACUAGGGGAAAUUGUAAUCAAACUAGAAAUUAACAGCACUUGUAAAGAAAAUUUAAUGAACAACCUUUAUUUAUUUAUAUAUGUUUGCCUACCGUUUGAUGUAUGUUUGCAACUUUGCUUGUAACCAGUAAGGGUUGAAGUGAAUGAAUCUCCAAGUGCUUUAGCGAUUGAUGCUCUCUCCCAAGUUAAUCAUGUUCUAGUUCCAAUCACCGACCGCAACCCUUACCUUUCAGAAGGCACAAGACAUGUUUGUUUCCCUUUUCUGAUAUUUGAUUGUUUGAGUUUCAUUGCUAAAGAAUCAUGUAUAUGUAGAUUGCAUUGAUAGUUUAGGGGACUCUAAACAUUGUGGCCAAUUUCCAGGGCAGUUUUAUUAUGCCCAUUAGUUACACCAUAGUUUUCUUUGAANNNNNNNNNNUUCCUUCAUGGAAUGCAAUAGUUGUUCUUUUUUAAAUUGGCUUACCCAUAAUGGCUGAUGAUGUGCCAGGCUGCAGCCACAACCACUUCUCUAGCAAAGAAGUAUGGAGCAAGCAUUACAGUAGUUGGUCUGAUCUCACUUCCUUUAAAAUGUUACCUUUUCUUGCUUAAGCUAUUGCGCAUAUUCGUUUAUAUAGCUUAAAUNNNNNNNNNNNNNNNNNNNNNNNNNNNNNNNNNNNNNNNNNNNNNNNNNNNNNNNNNNNNNNNNNNNNNNNNNNNNNNNNNNNNNNNNNNNNNNNNNNNNAUAAUAGAAUAGAUAGAUAUGUUUGUGAUUUCAUAUGUGUUAGCUCUUGUUCUACCUCCAUUGUUGACAUUCUUAGAGCUUGCUUACUCUCAAUCCCUCCAAUGAUUCUUGCUUGUUCUUGAGGGAAAAGAGAGAGGAGAUCUAGAUCCACAUCUCCACCAAUCACUUUCUCCUCUAUGUGAGGGGAACCCCUUGGAUCUUGAUCUUGGAGUUCUUUGUGAGCUCCUUGUUCUUCCUCUCAUAUUUCUCCAUAGCUUUUAUUGUUGUGGAGGGAUUUGAGUGUGAGGGACUUGACCACUUCGUGUGUUCUUGCCAUUGCAUUUGUUGCAUCGGUUUGAGUUCUCCACGGUGAUACGUGGAAGUGAAGUUUGAGAAGCUUAUUACCUUUGGUACUUAGUACCCUAGAUAUUGUUCUUCGUGGAUGCUUUGGCGUCCUAGAAGCUUGGUGGUGUCUCGGAGCUCAAUCAUUGUGGUGUGAAGCUCCGGGCAAGCGUCGGGGUCUCCAAUUAGGUUGUGGAGAUUGCCCCGAGCAAUUUGUACGGGUACCGGUAACCGCCCCCANNNNNNNNNNNNNNNNNNNNNNNNNNNNNNNNNNNNNNNNNNNNNNNNNNNNNNNNNNNNNNNNNNNNNNNNNNNNNNNNNNNNNNNNNNNNNNNNNNNNAACAAAGACUUAACCCCCCGUGGCCCAUCUGGGCCUAGUGGCCCAGCCGGCCACCUCCACGGCCAAACCUUAGCGCCCCCGCGCCUCCCACUCUCUCCCUGCCGCCGCGAGGACGAGGGGAACACCCCCUCAUCAAAUCCCACCUACCACUCCCCUCGUCACGCCCCCCCACCAACCGCUCGAGCCCCCCACCUACUACUCUUGUCGCUCGAGCCCCUGCCUCCCUCGCUCCCUCCCCAUCUCCCGUCGCCCCCACCUCACCUCGAGCUCGCGCACUCCCUGCACCCCUCCACUCGCCGGUGGCCCUGCCUCCCCCCCGUGAGCUUCUCCCACGCACCGGCAGCACUUCCCUCCGGUUAACCCUCCCGCCGACUGGAACUCUCCACCGGUGCCCUCGGCCGGGGCUCCUCCGGCCACGGUGGCCCUCCGCCUCGCCGCCCCAUCGUCGGAUCCACACCACCGUCCCGGGAUCGCCUCCCCAACAUCGUCACCAUCACCAGAGGCUCCUCCUCGUCGGAACCGCGCCGACUCCCCGUGCACUCCGGCUACUCCAAGCCUUCCCGUCAACGCCGGUGAGCUCCGGGACCCGGCCAUCCUCUCCUCCUCCUUCUCCCGGUUAAAUUCCGGCGAUCGCCGCAGCGUUCCGGCGCCGUUGGGCUCGUGGAGGUGGAGGUGGACCUUGCCUCCUCUCUCUCUCUAUUUAGGUUCCUGUGAGGAGAGAGAUGUCCGCGAGGUUGGAGAAAGAGAGGUAAAGAUAAAAAAAUGUAUAUGUGCAUGUAUGUAUGUAUUGCGUAUGUAUGCAUGUAUGUAAAAAUACUACAUUAUGUAUAUGGGUAUGUAUAUGUGUGUGAACGUUGGCUCACUUACAUAUGGGGUCAACCCCCUCAUUCCCACUAACACGGAGGCCCCACACCCGCUUUAAAAAAAAGAAAAAGAAAAAAUAUAUAUGUUUUUAUUAAUAAAAUAAAUAAAAAGAUAGUUAGAUAUAUUAUUUAACUAAUUAGUUAAUUAAUUAAAUAUAUUAUUUAGAUAAUCUGUUAAUUAGGAUAAUUAAAUUAUCCUAUUAGAGUAUGACACGUGGGUCCCCACUAAAUUAAUGUGAUUAAUUAAUAUUAAACCUAAUUGAAAACUGAGUCUAUGACGCAGAGGACCCACUGGCCAGUUGACCAGUCAACUGCUGAUGUCAGCAUGGCAUCAUGCUGAUGUCAUAAUUGUAUUUCAUUAAUUAAUUAAUUUGUUUUUAAUUCCUAAUUAUUGAAUAAAACUUCAAAAAUUAAUAUAAAAUAAUCCGUAAGUCAGAUCAAAAUAUUUUCAACAUGAAAGUUGAUCAGUAGAACGAGACGUACCUGGAUACACAAUCCAUUCGUGUGUCACGCAUCCCUAGCAUAGAAAACGUGGAACUUUUCCAUCGAUUUGAGUCUCACCGGUAGUAGCUAGAGAUGCGGGAAAUAUCAUCUGAUAUUCUCCCGACCCGUCUAUGAUGAAUGUUACUGCGUUAGCUCAUGCCUAGUCUGCAUAUUGCCAUGUCAUGCUUAGUGUUGCACCUGUUGCUGUUAUUUAUUGUUUCUUCCCCCCUCUUCUUACCGGUAGACCCCGAUACUGACGCUAUUGCCGGGUACAUCUACGACCCUGCCAAUCAACCCUUUGCUGCAGAGCAACAAGGCAAGCAAACCUCCCUUGAUCAUCCCUAUAUCGCCUAUGUCUUUCUUCCUGCUGCUUGCAUUAGAAUUUUGCUACUGUUGUAGUUAGCUCCUAUAUCCGAUGCAUAGCCUAAUUUUGAUGAACUGCUACUUUCAGUACUGCACCUUUAAACUAUUUAGUAUAGGUGGAGAAGUCUUCCCCUCUGACCCCGUAGUCCAGUUGCCCCGCUUUGUUUUCAAGUCUCGAUCCCUGAUCGACGAGCCGGACCCGACACCGCACUUACACCCCCCUUAGUUGUGCGACGCGACAGAGAUACUAUCGGGUACCGAGGGUGACACCUCGCGAAGUACUCCUAAUGAUAUCUCUGUAGUACAGCUAGUUGGUCGUGGUUAUCGAGGGUGAUUCCUCUUUCACCAUUCCUGACGAUGCCUCUGUCGUGCAACCCCUCAAGUGUGGGACCCUCGAGGGUGAUUCCUCUAAGUCCACCUUGACGGUUACAUCGUUUGGAAUCCAACGAGGGUGAUGCCUCGGAUCCCCCUGAUGUUACAACCACACAGUUACUUGACCAUGUUACUGGGAUCGUUGAUGAAUAGAUGUUAGGUGGGUGGAUUCCCGCGUGUUUGUAUCGUUGGCUUAAUUAAAAUGAUAAUGGAUUUGGGUAUUUGAUCUGGGUUGGUCGGAAGGCCUUAUUACACAUUAACCGUCUGCGUGGGAAGAAUUAUGGGUACUCGACGUCGCGGUAUCAGCCGAAGCUCUUCAGAUGUCAGCGAUGUAGCGGCGCGCGCCCGAGUGGUCCUGAGAUGCAUCGCGCUUGUGAUUAAGGGUGCUAGGACUAACAUAGUCCGCCCUCGCAUCAUGCAGGAACGCGAAGGGCAAGUGGGCCCACGAACCCUUUGUGCUUAGGAAUUAGACCUACGGGCUGGCCUCUCUGUUGAGCUUAGGUGGGGUUGCGACGUGUCGAUAUUCCGAGGCUGGGAAUGACCCAGAAAAGUGUGUGUGGCCAGAGUAUUAUCGAGCGCGUCGGGGAAUAUGUUGUGCACCCCUCUAGGGAAGAAGUUAUCUAUUCGUAUAGGCGUGUCCAUGGUUACACGACGACUUGGAGUUGUGCCCUGAUCUUAUACAACUACAAUUGCUACUUAACUAGAAUUAGUUGCCCCGGGAUUGCUUCCUCGCACGGAGUCGAAGGAGGAUCUCUAGCGUGUCCUCAUAUUAAUAUUGCUGCAACAAUAUGACUAUUAAUUGUGUUACCUUGCUCUACUCUCGUCUAUUGCUGCAAGACCCUGAAGAUGCUAGUCUUCGGUAGGACUAGGCCUUCUCUCUCUAUUCUCGCAUUGCUGCAGUCAGUCCACUUGUAAAUCCCCCCUUCUUUGAUAUUAAUGCAUACUUAGCUUAAUUCUGAUGUAAGAUUUGCGAGUACUUUGGAUGAGUACUCACCGUUCCUUUACUCCCCCUUUGCCCCUUGAUCCGUUGCUGCGACCAGAUGAUGGAGCCCAGGAGAUGGAGUUUCCUACCGACGCCUGCCACCACGUUGGUCACUUCUUCAUGGAGGCUGCACAAGACCAUGAGUAGUUUAGGAGGUUCCCAGGUAGGAGGCCUCUCCUCGUUCGAUCGUGUUUCUCUUGUGCUAGCCUUCUCUAAGGCACCCCAUGUUUAUAUCUGUACUCAGAUAUUGUUGCUUCUUCUGACUCGUGUGCUUAUCGAGCUUCUGUAUUCUAGCCCUCGAGGCCCCUCGCUUGUAAUAUGAAGCUUGUAUUGUUUCAUUUGUGUUUAGAGUUGUGUUGUGAUAUCUUCCCGUGAGUCCUUGAGUUUGAUCGUAUGCAUUUGCGUGUAUGAUUAGCGUACGAUUAAACGGAGUGCGUCACACCAGGGCUAGCGCUCCGCAUGCAUGUCCUUUGUUGACGUCGCGGGUGUGUGCAUCCACGUGAAGGCCGGAAAGAAGGUCGAGAGCUACCGGCACCAUUGGGUAUUCAUGAACGCGCGCUAGGAGAGCUCGCUCUUGGCAACUCCCUUGGGUCUGCCCGAGCAAAUCCCUGGGUGGAUCCACAAGAAGCUCACUGACCCAAGGGCGGGGCCCGUCCUGGAGCGAAUCUCCUUCCUCGCAGAGGCCCACCACACAUGGGCGAUGAUUAACAAGGAGUUCCUUGGGCAUCGCAUCGCGCCGCUCCAGGCGCACUCGCGCGCCUUGUGGGAAUUCAGUCAUGGUGGAGAUCUAAUGCUCGUGCAAAUCAGCGACCUAACAUACAAUGAGCUGCAUGGGGCCUUGGGGGCUCUGCUAGGUCCUUGCCCUGAGGACCUCCCGUAGGCCACGCCGUCGUUGUACGCAUGUGAAGACAUGGAGGGAAUGGUCGUGGAGAUGGUCGCCUCCAACGAAUGGGGGAUCGUCUGGCCACACAAGGGCUCCCCCAUCAUCGUCUCAUCCUUGGUCAAAGACGAUAGUGACCAGGACUCGGAGGCGACGAAAGGGGGUAGACGUCGGCCAGAUUCCGCCGCACAACCUCCAUCCGUAACUAUGCAUUCUUGGGGACGGUGCUCAUGUGAAUGAGAGACACCACGCGACCCCCCUGAUCCCGUGGCCUCGGGAGAAGUAGCGGGGCUGGGCCCGUGAUGGCCGAGGCGUCGGCGGUGGGAGCCCCUAACGAUGGUGUCACGCCUCCCUCGACAACGGUUGUACUUCCCCAUGGGGGCCCUCGGGCUCCUAUGGAAGAGGGAGGCCACAGAAAGCUUGCCGGGGACCGUGUCGAGCGCCCCUCUGGCGGUGGCGGGGCGGCGCUUGAGGGUGGGAAAGAUGGGUCGCCCACCACUAAGUGUUGGAGAACGUUGCAUAGAAAACGAAAAAAUUCCUACGCACACACAAGAUCUAUCCAUGGUGAUGACCAUCUACGAGAGGAGAGAUUGUAUCUACAUACCCUUGUAGAUUGCUAAGCGGAAGCGUAUAUAACGCGAUUCAUAUAGUCGAACAUCUUCAUGGUCCAAAUCGUAGUCCGUCCUGCGAUCUCAUCACGACCCGUCCCGAGAUCCCAUCAGAUCCAUCCCGAUCUUGUGCGGGACUUAAGGCACCUCCACGUUCAGCACACAUACAGCUCGAUGAAGAUCUCUGCCUUCUUGAUCCAGCAAGAGGGGGCGAAGAGGUAGCUGAGUUCUCCGAUACCCUAAGGGCAUGGUGGCGAUGGUGGUGGAUCUGAUCCGACAGGGCUUCGUCGUGCACUGCCGAACCUAAUCUAGAGGAAGAACAAACUAGAGGGAGGGAGAGGGGUUGUGCCUUCGAUUGAGGUGCCGCUACCCUCUCUCCCCUCCAUCAUAUAUAGGAGGGAGGUGGAAGGGGUGGCACCUUAGGGUUUCCCCUAGGGUUCGCCGGCCGCGCCCAAGAGGGGGAGGAGUCCUCCUCCAAGUGGGUUUGGUGGAGGCGCUAGGAGGACUCUUCCUCUUAGUCGAAAUCCUCCCCUUCUCCAAUAUUUUGGAUUCAUAGGCCCAUGAGGCUGCCUCCUAGCCCACUAGGGGCUGGUAUGCCACUUCUUAGGCCUAUGUGGCUCCCUGGGGUGGUUGGCCCCUCCCGGUGAACCCCUGGAACCUUUUCAUAACUCCCGAUACACUAUCAGAAAUGCCCGGAACUUUUCCGGAACCCAAGUACCCUCUUCCUAUAUCAAUCUUCAUCUCUCGACAAUUCCAGAACUCCUCGUGACGUCCGGGGAUCUCAUCUGGGACUCCUAACAAGCUUCGUUCACCAACAUACAUAACUCAACUAUAUUGAAACAUCACCGAACCUUAAGUGUGCAGACCAUGUGGGUUCGAGAAUUAUGCAGACAUGACCGAGACACUAUCCGGUCAAUAACCAAUAGCGACACCUGGAUGCCCAUAGUGGCUCCUACAUAUUCUAUGAAGAUCUUCAUUGACCGAACCUCUAUGUCAAGGAUUCAGUUAAUCCCGUAUACUAUUCCAUUUGUCCAUCGGUAUGUUACAUGCCCGAGUUUCGAUCGAUGGUAUCUUUACACCCAGUUUAAUCUCGUUACCAGCAAGUCUCUUAACUCAUUCUGUAAUACAAAAUCCCGUGACUAAUCUUUAGUCACAUUGCUUGCAAGGUUGUUGUGAUAUUUGUUGGAAAUAUGCCUUAGAGGCAAUAAUAAAUUAGUUAUUAUUAUAUUUCUUUGUUCAUGAUAAUCAUUUAUUAUCCAUGCUAUAAUUGUAUUGAUUGGAAACACAAUACUUGUGUGGAUACAUAGACAAAACACUAUCCCUAGUAAGCCUCUAGUUGACUAGCUCGUUGAUCAAAGAUGGUCAAGGUUUCCUGACCAUAGGCAAGUGUUGUUACUUGAUAACGGGAUCACAUCAUUAGGAGAAUCAUGUGAUGGACAAGACCCAAACUAUGAACGUAGCAUAUUGAUCAUGUCGUUUUAUUGCUAUAGUUUUCUGCGUGUCAAGUAUUUGUUCCCAUGACCAUGAGAUCAUAUAACUCACUAGCACCGGAGGAAUACCUUGUCUGUAUCAAACGUCACAACGUAACUGGGUGACUAUAAAGAUGCUCGACAGGUAUCUCCGAAGGUGUCCAUUGAGUUACUAUGGAUCAAGACUGGGAUUUUUCACUCCGUGUGACGGAGAGGUAUCUCGGGGCCCACUCGGUAAUACAACAUCACACACAAGCCUUGCAAGCAAUGUGACUUAGUGUAUGUCACAGGAUCUUGUAUUACGGAACGAGUAAAGAGACUUGCCGGUAAACGAGAUUGAAAUAGGUAUGCGGAUACCUACGAUCGAAUCUCGGGCAAGUAACAUACCGAAGGACAAAGGGAAUGACAUACGGGAUUAUAUGAAUCCUUGACAGUGAGGUUCAACCGAUAAGAUCUUCGGAGAAUAUGUAGGAUCCAAUAUGGGCAUCCAGGUCCCGCUAUUGGAUAUUGACCGAGGAGUCUCUCGGGUCAUGUCUACAUAGUUCUCGAACCCGUAGGGUCUGCACACUUAAGGUUCAACGAUGUUUUAUGCGUAUUCGAGUUAUAUGGUUGGUUAACCGAAAGUUGUUCGGAUUCCCGGAUUAGAUCCAGGACGUCACGAGGAGCUCCAGAAUGGUCCGAAGGUAAAGAUUGAUAUAUAGGAAGUCCUGUUUUGGUCACCGGAAAAGUUUCGGGCUCAUCGGUAGUGUACCGGGAGUGCCGGGAGGGGUGCCGGGGACCAUCGGGAGGGGUGUCACGCCCCAAGGGGUCUCAUGGGCUAUGGGAAGAGAUAAACCAGCCCCUAGUGGGCUGGAAUAAGUUCCCACUAAGGCCCAUAAGGUUUGAGAAGGAAAAAACACAAGGUGGAAAGAGUUUCCAAGUGGGAAGGUGGAAUCCUACUCUAAGUAGGAUUGGAGUAGGACUCCCCCACCUCCAAUUUCGGCCAAACCUUGAGGGUUUGAGGCUGCCUCCUCCCCUCCCUCCCUCCUAUAUAUACUGAGGUAUUAGGGCUUAUUUGAGACAACUUUUCCACGGCAGCCCGACCACAUACCUCCACGGUUUUUCCUCUAGAUCGUAUUUCUACGGAGCUCGGGCGGAGCCCUGCUGAGAUAGAUCACCACCAACCUCAGCAGCGCCAUCACACUGCCGGAGAACUCAUCUACCUCUCCGUCUCUCUUGCUGGAUCAAGAAGGCCGAGAUCAUCGUCGAGAUGUACGUGUGCUGAAGGCGGAGGUGCCGUCUGUUCAGCACUAGAUCGGAACGGAUCGUCAGAUGGAUCGCAAGACGGUUCAUGCAACGGAUCACGAGAUGGUUCGUGGGACCGAUCGCGGGACGGAUCGCGGGAUGGUUCGUGGGACGGUUCGCGGGGCGGAUCGAGGGACGUGAGGACGUUCCACUACAUCAACCGCGUUUCUUAACGCUUCUGCUGUGCGAUCUACAAGGGUACGUAGAUCAAAAAUCUCCUCUCGUAGAUGAACAUCACCAUGAUAGUUAUUGCGUGUGCGUAGGAAAAUUUUCGUUUCCCAUGCGUCGUUCCCAACAAUAUUUUAUUACCGAGUGGGCCUUAGAGAUACCUCUCCGUCAUACCCUUGGAGAUACCCUUGGAGAUACCUAUAGAGCAUCUUUAUAGUCACCGAGUUACGUUGUGACAUUUGAGACACACAAGGCAUUCCUACGGUGUCCGGGAGUUGCAUGAUCUCAUGGCCAUACGAACAAAUACUUGACAUGCGAAAACAGUAGCAAUAAACUGACACGAUCACAUGCUACGUUCAUAGUUUGGGUCUUGUCCAUCACAUCAUUCUCCUAAUGAUGUGAUCCCGUUAUCAAACGACAUCUCAUGUCUAAGGUUAGGAAACCUUGACCACCUUUUAUCAACAAUCUAGUCCUUAGAGGCUCACUAGGGACAGUGUGUUGUCUAUGUACCCACACAUGUAUUUGAGUUUCCAAUCAAUACAAUUCUAGCAUGGAUAAUAAAUGGUUAUCAUGAACAAGGAUAUAUAAUAGUAACUAAUUUAUUAUUGCCUAUAGGGCAUAUUUCCAACAGUCUCCCACUUGCACUAGAGUCAAAAAUCUAGUUCACAUCACUAUGUGAUUCACACCCAAUAAGUUCUGGGGUUUAAUCAUGUUUUAUUUUGAGAGAUGUUUUAGUCAACGUGUCUGAACCUUUCAGAUCCAUGUGUGCUUUACAAAUCUCUAUGUCAUACUAUAGAUGUUGCUACCACGCGCAAGUUGGAACUAUUCCAAACAACUACUGCACUAUACGAAUCCGGUUUGCUACUCAGAGUCAUCCGCAUUGGUGUCAAAGCUUGCAUCGACGUAACCCUUUACGAUGAACUCUUUCAUCACCUCCAUAAUCGAGAAACAUUUCCUUAGUCCUCAAGUUACUAAGGAUAAUUUUGACCGUUGUUCAGUGAUUUAUUCCUGGAUCAGUCUUUGUACCCCUUGACAGACUCAUGGGAAGGCACACAUCAGGUGCGGUACACAACAUGGCAUAUUAUAUAUCAUAUGGCUAAGUCAUAGGGGACGACCUUCGUCCUUCCUCUUUCUUCUGUCAUGGUCGGGCUUCGAGUCUUACUCAAAUUCACAGCUUACAAUACAAUCCAGAACUCCUUCCUUGACUGAUCCAUUUUGAACUCCUUCAAAAAAUUUGUCAAGGCAUGUCUUUAUUGAAAGUUUUAUCAAGCAUCUUGAUCUAUCUUGUAUAGAUCUCGAUCCCCAGUGUUCAAGCAACUUAAUUCAGGUUUUCCUUUGAAAAACUCCUUUCAAACAACCCUAUAUGCUUUCCAGAAAUUCUACAUCAUUUCCGAUCAACAAUAUGUCAACCACAUAUACUUAUCAGAAAUUUUAUAGUGCUCCCACUCACUUUCUUAAAAAUACAAGUUUCUCAUAAACUUUGUAUAAACCUAAAAGCUUUGAUCAUCUUCAUCAAAGCGCACAUUCCAACUCCGAGAUGCUUGCUCCAGUCCAUAGAAGGAUCGCUGGAGUUUGCAUACUUGUCAGCAUCCUUAGGAUCGACAAAACCUUCUGGUUGUAUCACAUACAACCUUUCCUCAAGGAAACCGUCGAGGAAACAAUGUUUUGACAUCCAUCUGCAAGAUUUCAUAAUUAAAAAAUGCAUCAGCUGCUAACAUAAGUCCAACAUAGUUUAACAUCGCUACAGGCAAGAAAGUCUCAUCGUAGUCAACUCCUUGAACUUGUCGGAAACCUCUUUGCGACAAGUCGAGCUUUCUAAAUGGUGACAUUCACCAUCAUCGUAUGUCUUCCUUUUAAAGAUCCAUUUGUACUUAAUAGCCUUACGACCAUCAAUUAGUUCUUCCAAAGUCUACACUUUGUUUUCAUACAUGGAUCCUACCUCGGAUUUCAUGGCGUCCAGUCAUUCGUCGGAAUCCAGGCCCACCAUCGUUUCUCCAUAGCUCGUAGGUUCAUUGUUGUUCGAAAACAUGACCUCCAAGACAGGAUUACCAUACCACCUUGGAGUAGUGCGUAUCCCUGUCGACCUACAAGGUUUGGAAGUAACUUGAUUUGAAGCUUCAUGAUAAUCAUCAUUGGCCUCCUCUUCAAUUUGGUGUAGGCGCCACACGAACAACUUCCUGUGCCCUGCUACACUCUGUUUGAAGUGACAGUACAGUAACCUCAUCAAGUUCCACUAUGCUCCCACUCAAUUCUUUUGAGAGAAACUCUUNNNNNNNNNNNCUCUUUCCCGAGAAAGGACUCUUUUCCGGAAACAAACACUUUGCUUUUCGAUCUGAGUUAGGAGGUAUACCCAACUAUUUAGGGUAUCCUAUGAAUAUGCAUUUAUCCACUUCGGGUUCGAGCUUAUCAGGCUAAAGACCUUUGACAUAAGCAUCAGAGCCCGAAACUUUUAAGAAACGACAGCAUAGGUUUCUCCAAACCAUAGUUCGUAUGGUGUCAUCCCAAUGGAAUUAAAUGGUGCCCUAUUUAAAGUGAAUUUGGUUGUCUCUAAUGCAUAACCCCAAAACAAUAGUGGUAAUUCGAUAAGAGACAUCAUAGUAUGCACCAUAUCUAAGAGGGCGCGGCUACGAUGUUCGGACACACCAUCACACUAUGGUGUUCCACGUGGCAUGAGUUGUGAAACAAUUUCCACAUUUGUCUUAAAUGUGUACCAAACUCGCAACUCAGGUAUUCAUCUCCAUGAUCACAUCAUAGACAUUUCAUCCUCUUGUCACGACGAUCUUCAACUUCACUCUAAAAUUGCUUACCCUUUUCAAUAAUUCAGACUCGUGUUUCAUCAAGUAAAUACACUAGUAUCUACUCAAAUCAUCUGUGAAGUAAGAACAUAACGAUAUCCACUGCGUGCCUCAACACUCAUUGGACUUCAUACAUCAAAAUCUAUUAUUUCCAAUAAGUAACUAUCUCGUUCCAUCUCACUAGAAAACGAGACCUUUAGUCAUCUUGCCCAUGUGGCAUGAUUUGCAUGUCUCAAGUGAUUUAAAAUCAAGUGAGUCCAAAAGAUCCAUAUUCAUGGAGUUUCUUCAUGCGUUUACACCAAUAGGCAUGGUUCACAUGUCUCAAACGAUUCAAAAACGAGUGAGUCCAAAGAUCCAUCAGUGUGGAGCUUCUUCAUGCAUUUACACCAAUAUGACUCAAGCGGAAAUGCCACAAGUAAGUGGUAAUAUCAUUACUACUUUUCAUCUUUUGGCAUUAAUAUUAUGAACAUGUGUAUCACUACGAUCGAGAUUCAAAAAACCAUUCAUAUUAACUGCAUGACCAUUGAAGGUUUUAUUCAAGUAAACAGAGUAUCCAUUAUUCUCUUUAAAUGAAUAACCUUAUUGCAAUAAACACGAUCCAAUCAUGUUCAUGCUCAAUGCAAACACCAAUCAAUAUUUAGGUUUAACACUAAUCCCGAAGGUAGAGGGAGCGUGCGAUGGUGAUCACAUCAACCUUGGAAACACUUCCAACACACAUCGUCACCUCGCCUUUAGCUAGUAUUCGUUUAUUCCGUAGUUUUUUAUUUCGAGUUACUAGCAUUUAGCAACUGAACCGGUAUCUAAUACCCAUGUGCUACUAGGAGUACUCGUAAAGUACACAUUAAUAACACGUAUAUCCAAUAUACUUUUGUUGACAAUGCUAGCCUUCUUAUCUACCAAGUGUCUAGGGCAGUUCUGCCUCAGUGAUCAUUCCCCUCAUCAUAGAAGCGCUCAGUCUCGGGUUGGGGUUCAACCUUGGGUUUCUUCAUUGGAGUGACAACUGACUUGUCAUUCUCCAAGUUUCCCUUCAUUCCCUAUGCCCUUCUUGAAACUAGUGGUUUUAGUAAUCAUCAAUAAUUGAUGCUCCUGCUUGAUUUCUACCUUUGUGGUGUCAAACAUUGUGAAUAGCUCAGGGAUCAUCAUCUCUAUCCUUGAUAUGAUUUAGUUCAUAACGAAGCUCGGUAGCUUCGUGGUAGUGACUUUUGAGAACUAUGGCAAUCACUAUUUUAUCUAGAAUAUCAACUACCACUCGAUUCAAGCGAUUGUAGCACCCAGACAAUCUGAGCACAUGCUCAACGAUUGAGCUUUUCUCCCUUUCUUUGCAGGGAAAGAAUCUUGUCGGAGGUCUCAUACGUCUCAACACGGGCAUGAGCCUGAAAUCCUAAUUUCGGCUCUUGGAACAUCUCAUACGUUCCAUAACGUUCAAAAAUGUCUUGGGCGCCACAAUUCUAAGCCAUAAAGCAUGGCACACUGAACUAUCAUGAAGUCAUCAAAAACAUGUAUGUAAGAUGUUCGCAACAUCCACAAAUGAUGCUUGGGGUAGCACACCUAGUGGUGCAUUAAGGACAUAAGCCUUCUGUGCAGCAAUGAGUACAAUCCUAAGUUUUCGGACCGAGACCGCAUAAUUGCUAGUAUCAUCUUUCAACCUAGUUUUCUCUAGGAACAUAUCAAAAUACAGAGGAGCUACAGCGCAAUCUAAUCAACCAAUACAUAAUUUGCAAAGACAUUUUGACUAUGUUCAUGAUAAUGAGUUCAAUUAAUCAUAUUACUUAAGAACUCCCACUCAAAUUGACAUCCCUCUGGUCAUUUGAGUGGUACAUGAUCCAAAUCCACUAACCCAAGUCUAAUCAUCACGUGAGAUGAGUUGGCUUCAAUGGUGAACAUCUCUAUGUUGAUCAUAUCUACUAUAUGACUCAUGUUCGACCUUUCGGUCUCUUGUUUUCCAAGGCCAUGUUUGUACAUGCUAGGCUCAUCAAGUUUAACCCGAGUUUUCCGGGUGUGCAGAACUGUCUUACACUCGUUGUAUGUGAACUUAGAGCCUAUCACACCCGAUCAUCAUGUGGUGUCUCGAAACGACGAACUUUCGCAACGGUGCACACUCGGGGAUUAAUAACGAACACAAUUUUAUCUUGAAAUUUUAGUGAGGGAUCACUUUAUAAUUCUACCUCGUCGUAAGCCAAACAAGGUGCAUAAAAAGGAUUAAUAUCACAUGCAAAUCAUAAGUGACAUGAUAUGGCCAUGAUCUUGUGCUUUUGAUCUCCAUCUCCAAAGCACUAGCAUGAUCUCCAUCAUCACCGGCACUACACCAUGAUCUCCAUCAUUGUGCUGCCAUCGAGGUUGUCGCGCCAACUAUGUUGUUACUACUAAAGCUACUCAACUAGCGAUAAAGUAAAGCAUCAGCAAGCGCCAUAAUAAAUUAAAGACAACCCUAUGACUCCUGCAGGUUGCUGUAGCAUCGACAUGCAAGUCGGUAUUUAACUAUUACAACAUGAUCAUCUCGUACAUCAAAUAUAUAACAUGAUGUUUUUUGCCAUAUCAUAUCACAUGAUACCCUGCAAAAACAAGUUAGACGUCCUCUAACUUGUUGUUGCAUGUUUUACGUGGUUGCUAUGGGUAUCUAGCAAGAACAAUUCUUACCUACGCAAAAUCACAACGAUGAUAUACAAGUUGUUAUUUAACCUUCUUCAAGGAUCGCCUCUGUCAAAUCCGAUUCAACUAGAUUAGGAGAAACAGACACCUGUCUGCCAUCUUUAUGCAACAAGUUGCAUGUUAGUCGCUGGAACCGGUCUCUCGUAAGUGUAUGAGUAAGGUUGGUUCUGAUCAAGAAAAGACUAAGGAGGGAUGCCAUUUGAAUAUCAACGCCCAUAAACUCCUUUGUGUUCUACUCAAGAUGUCAUCUACGCAUAGUUCUAGCUCUGAUACCACUACUGUGGAACGUUGCAUGGGAAACAAAAAAAUCCUAUGCACACACAAGAUCUAUCCAUGGUGAUGACCAUCUACGAGAGUUGAGAUUGUAUCCACAUACCCUUGUAGAUCGCUAAGCGGAACCAUAUAUAACGAGGUUGAUGUAGAUGAACAUCUUUGUGAUCCAAAUCACAGUCCCUCUCGCGAUCUCAUCACAAUCCAUCCCGAAAUCACAUCCCGAUCUAGUGCAGGACGGAAGGCACCUCCGCGUUCAGCACACUUACAGCUCGAUGACGAUCUCCGCCUUCUUGAUCUAGCAAGAGGGUGUGAAGAGGUAGCUGAGUUCUCCGACAGCCAAACGGCAUGGUGGCGAUGGUGGUGGAUCUGAUCCGACAGGGCUUCGUCGUGCACUGCCGAACCUAAUCUAGAGGAAGAACAAACUAGAGGGAGGGAGAGGGGUUGUGCCUUCGAUUGAGGUGCCGCUACCCUCUCUCCCCUCCACCAUAUAUAGGAGGGAGGGGGAAGGGGUGGCGCCCUAGGGUUUGGUGGAAGUGCUAGGAGGACUCCUCCUCCUAGUCAAACUCCUCCCCUUAUCCACUAUUUCAGCUGCAUAGGCCCAUGGGGCUGGCCGCCCAGCCCACUAGGGGCUGGUGUGCCACCUCUUAGGCCUAAGUGGCCCCCGGGGUGGUUGUCCCCUCCUGGUGAACCCCGAGAACCCAUUCGUCACUCCCGGUACACUACCGAAAAUGCCCAAACUUUUCUAGAACCCAAAUACCCUUUUCCUAUAUAUCAAUCUUCAUCUCCGAACCAUUCUGGAACUCCUCGUGAUGUUCGGGAUCUCAUCCGGGACUACGAACAACCUUCGGUCACCAACAUACAUAACUCAACUAUACCGGAACAUCACUGAACCUUAAGUGUGCAGACCCUGCGGAUUCGAGAACUAUGUGGACUUGGCCGAGACAUUCUUCGAUCAAUAACCAAUAGUGGUACUUGGAUGCCCAUAUUGGCUCCUACAUAUUCUACGAAGAUCUUUAUCGGUCGAACCUCUGUUUCAAGGAUUUAGUUAAUCCCAUAUACUAUUCCCUUUGUCCGUCGGUAUGUUACUUGCCCGAGAUUCGAUCGUCGGUAUCUUUAUACCUAGUUCAAUCUCAUUACUGGCAAGUCUCUUUACUCGUUCCGUAAUACAAAGUCUCGUGACUAACUCUUUAGUCGCAUUACUUGCAAGGCUUGUUGUGAUAUUGUAUUACCGAGUGGACCCUAGAGAUACCUCUCCGUCAUACGGAGUGACAAAUCCCAUUCUCGAUUCACGCCAACCCAACAAACACCCUCGGAGAUACCUGUAGAGUACCUUUAUAGUCACCCAGUUAUGUUGUGACGUUUGAUACACACAAGGCAUUCCUCUGGUGUUCGGGAGUUGCAUGAUCUCAUGGUCAUAGGAACAUAUACUUGACAUGCAGAAAACAGUAGCAAUAAACUGACACAAUCACAUGCUACAUUCAUAGUUGGGUCUUGUCCAUCACAUCAUUCUCCUAAUGAUGUGAUCUCGUUAUGAAACGACAUCCCAUGUCUAUGGUUAGGAAACCUUGACCAUCUUUGAUCAAUGAGCUAGUCCUUAGAGGCUCACUAGGGACAGUGUGUUGUUUAUGUACCAACACACAUAUAUUGGAGUUUCCAAUCAAUACAAUUCUAGCAAGGAUAAUAAAAGUUUAUCAUAAACAAGGAAAUAUAAUAAUAACUAAUUUAUUAUUGCUUCUAGGGCAUAUUUCCAACACCGAUAAGAAGUGGAAGUGGGCCGUCGGGGACGAGUAAGUAUCUUAGCCCGUGCUCAUGCUAUUCACCCGCGGUCGGUUUACCCACGCAAACCCUUUUCUAGUGCACGCUCUGUGGCGGCGGUGAGGAGAAGAAGAAGAAGGCCGCCAUUGGGGCGAAGGUGAUGCAGGUCUUGAGGGUGCCUUCAUCCCUUGGUCGGGGCAUAUGUGGGCGUAGUGGUAGCUCGCGGAAGUCGGGCGCCGCUCUCAAGCGCACAAGCGGCAGCGCAUCUUUAAGCGUCCCUUCAUGCGGCAAGGAGACAUGAGUGCCAAAGCCGCGGCGGCCCAGCCGCCACCGCCACCGGCCAAGGCUACGACGGUCCAGCCCCCGAUGCCAACUGUCCAGGCCACGGCCACUGCCAGGGCCGUGGAGGCAGGGGCAAUGGCCUUCGUGAAAGUGUUGCGGACGCCUGAUGUCGUGGAGGACCCAGAGCACCCGACACCCCAAGCAGAGGGCACCGAGGCUGUUCUGGUUGCGAUAAUAGGCAGCAUCGUGAUGGAAGCACCUUCAGAGGCCCUCACCCUGAUGGCCCAAGACAUGUUGGUCCGCGGCGGGCCCCUGACCGACGCCCUAAACUUGCUCGACCGACUUGAGGUAGAUUUCUAGGACGCCGAGGUGCGCCUAACCGAAGAAUGCGCGAGGUUGGCCUCGGGGUGGCCCCAACUUGAGGCCUCCGCCAAGGAGGUCAGAGGCGAGGUCGAGGCCGUUCGUGCGGAAGGCCGCCGAGGCAAAGGCCUCCAGCGCGAGCGCACUUGCCGAGAAGGAAGCGCUCACCAAGCGCUGCGAAGAAGUGAUGACCCACAAGUGUAGGGGAUCUAUCGUAGUCCUUUUGAUAAGUAAGAGUGUCAAAGUCAACGAGGAGCACAAGGAUCUGACAAUUGGUUUUCAGCAAGGUAUUCUUUGCAAGCACUGAAAUUACCGGUAACAUAUAGUUGUGUGAUAAGACAAUUCGUGGCGAGUAGCAAGUAACAAUAGUAACAAAGGUGCAGCAAGAUGGCCCAAUCCCUUUUGUAGCAAGGGACAAGCCUGGACAAACUCUUAUAGGAGGUAAAGCGCUCCUGAGGACACAUGGGAAUUUAUGUCAAGCUAGUUUUCAUCAUGUUCAUAUGAUUCACGUUUGCUACUUUGAUAGUUUGAUAUGUGGGUGGACCGGUGCUUGGGUGCUGCCCUUACUUGGACAAACAUCCCACUUAUUAUUAACCCCUCUCGCAAGCAUCCGCAACUACGAAAGAAGAAUUAAGACAAAGUCUAACCAUAGCAUUAAACUAGUGGAUCCAAAUCAGCCCCUUACGAAGCAACGCAUAAACUAGGGUUUAAGCUUGUGUCACUCUAGCAACCCAUCAUCUACUUAUUACUUCUCAAUGCCUUCCUCUAGGCCCAAAUAAUGGUGAAGUGUUAUGUAGUCGAUGUUCACAUAACACCACUAGAGGAAAAACAACAUACAACGCAUCAAAAUAUCGAACGAAUACCAAAUUCACAUGACUACUUAUAGCAAGACUUAUCCCAUAUAGUCAGGAACAAAAGUAGCUACUCACAAAGCAUAAUUAUGUUCAUGACUAGAGAGGUAUUGAAUAGCAUCAAGGAUCUGAACAUAUAAUCUUCCACCGAGUAAUCCAACUAGCAUCAACUACAAAGAGUAAUUAACACUACUAGCAACCUUACAAGUACCAUUCAGAGUCGCGAGACGGAGAGUGGUUACAAGAGAUGAACUAGGGUUUGGAGAUGAGAUGGUGCUGAUGAAGAUGUUGAUGGUGAUGAGUCCCCUUCGAUGAGAGGAGUGUUGGUGAUGACGAUGGCGACGAUCUCCCCCUCCGGGAGGGAAGUUCCCCGGCAGGACGGCCGUGCCGGAGCUCUAGAUUGGUUCUGCUCAAGUUCCGCCUCGUGGCGGCGGCGAAUCCUCCCGAAAGCCUCCUCCUGAUUUUUUCUGGAACGAAACCCUCCUUAUAGCAAAGGAUGGGAGCCAGAGGGCCAACAAGGAGCCCACAAGCCCCCUAGGCGCGGCCAAGGGGUAGGUCACGCCUAGCAGGCUUGUGGCCUCCUGGUGGCUCCCCUCUGGUACUUCUUCCGCCCAGUAUUUUUUAUAAAUUCCAAAAUAAUUCCUCGUUGAUUUUCACGGAUUUUGGAGUUGCACAGAAUAGGUAUCUCAAACUUGCUCCUUUUACAGGCCAGAAUUCCAGCUGCCAGCAUUCUCCCUCUUCAUGUAAACGUUGUAAAAUAAGAGAGAAAAGGCAUAAGUAUUGUACCGUGAAGUGUAAUAACAGCCCAAAAAGCGACAAAUAACAACAUAAAAGCAUGAUGCAAAAUGGACGUAUCAGCUCCCCCAAGCUUAGACCUCGCUUGUCCUCAAGAGGAAGCCGAGAUCAAUAAAUAUGCCCACAUGUUUAGAGAUAGAGGUGUCGACAAAACAAGAUACAGACAUGCAGGCAUCAUGAUCAUAAUCAGAACAGCAAUAACAUCAUAUAAUAUCUUAUGCUAAAGUGAUAAUUCCUUCACAAAGUAAAGUAUGGAUCAAGAACCUUAUUGAGAAUUAACAACCAAUAGCCCUUAGUCAUUGAAGCAAUUGUAAUUUAUCAUAUUAUCAGAAAGAGACAAGUAAGAGCUUGUAAAGCAAAUCCACAUACUCAAUCAUCCUUUCGUCUUCUACAAUUGCUACAACUCACAUGGUACUAAUGAGAUCAAAGUUUCACUUCGACACAGAGAAAGAUAGGGGCUUAUAGUUUUGCCUCCCAACUAUUUACCUCAAGGGUAAUGUCAACGAUAAUAAUUCAUGAUUACUUACUUCCAAGUUGACAUAUGAAUAUAGAUAUUUCCCUAGCACGUGACGUUAGCUAAGAUAAUGGCGAAAUAAGGAAUUGGUGUCGAUCACCAUGACUCUUUUAAGGACAAAAAUUAAAGGUACAAGAUAGGCCCUUCGCAGAGGGAAGAAGAGGUUGUCAUGCGCUUUUGAAGUUUGGAUGUGUGACCUCUUAGUGUGAAAGAAUGUCACUUUAUAUUGCCUCAUGUGAUAAAGAACUUUAUUAUGCAGCCCGUCGCUUUUAUGUCUUCCUCAUCACAGGUUCGUACAAAGCUUAUUUUCCACACACUAAUAGAUCGAACAUUUUUAGGGAGCAAUUUUUAUUGCUUGCACCGAUGACAACUUACUUGGGGGAUCUUCUUCAAUCCAUAGGUAGGUAUGGUGGGCUCUCAUGGCAAAAUUGGGUUGAAGGUUUAUGGAUGCACAAGUAGUAUCUCUAGUUAGUGCGGAAGUUUUGGCUGAUAUGAGGUGAAAGCAAGCGUCACAUGCUAAGCGAUCUCUAGUCAUAUAACACUGUUCGAAACCAAGCAAACAUAAUUCAUUAUGUUGUCUUCCUUGUCCAACGUCUACUUCUAAGCAUGUAAUAGUUCAAUGAGUGUUCAAAAUCAUAGACGGUGUCAAAGAUGAUAUAUUUAUAUGUGAACAUAUCUUUCUUUAUUACUUCCUAUUAAUUGCAGCAAUGACCAAGGUCUACGUUUGUCCACCCACAACAAGUUUCAAUCAAUAUUCUUUUUAUAUGUGAACUCAUCACUUCCCAUAAGAUCAUUACAUGAUCUUUCAUGCUUUUGUUCUUUUAUCAUUCUUUUAUUUAGAUCAUGGCAUGAAGCAAGGCCCUUAACUAAAAGACUCUUUAUUAUAUGACUCACGAACUCGAAUACAUCGGGGGUGACACAAAGCAAAACUCAAACCUAGAAUACUAAGAACUUUAUUCUACUAGAGAAAGAUAAAACCAAAAAGGAUCGAACUAAGAAAAGGUAAAGGCAAAAGAUGUGAUGGUGAUACGAUAUCGGGGCAACUCCCCCAAGCUUGGCACAAGCCAAGGGGAUUUCCCAUACCCGUGCUUAAUUGUCUUCCUUUGAAGGUGAAGGUGGUGGAGUUGUUGCAACCUGGGUUUGAUCCUCCGUCUUCCAAGGCAGAGGUGCUCCAUCAUGGAAAGAUGAUCGAGUCUCCGGAAUCCUCAAAUCUGCAGCCAACCGUAUUGAUUUAAAUCUAUACUCAUACUCACAGUUUCGGUUCUCCAGGUCAUAGAUCUGGGCUUGGAGGUGAUCAAUUCUCUCAUAGAGCCUGGGGAGGUGCUUCCCGAUGUCAUUGGCAUCGAUCUUGUGCUUGUUGGUGAACUCCGUGAUCAUCAUGUGGUUGGCGUUGAGUCCGCAUUCCACCAUCCCUUGGCACUGGAAGACUUGCUGCUCCAUUGCUUCAAGCCUCGCCUCCACGCUUCCGGUCUUCUUGGGCCCCUCAACAUCACGGAUGUGGAGCACCCCCUCACGCAUCUCGAUAGAUUGAGGGUGUUGCAGCACUCCCUCAAGGUAGGGAUUAAUGACCUUCUCGAAGAACUUGUCCUACGGAACUUUUGGGGACGCCAUGGCGAUCUAGAUUUGUUUGCACAGCAGCUUGAAAUGAAAACAGAGGAAGAUUGCGUGAUACGAGGGUCAGACCUUUCGGGAGAAUAUAUAAUGAUUUUUUUCCGACCAGAAGGAGUACUCCGCAAGAAAAUGGAGUCUGGGAGGCACACGAGGUGGUCACAAGGCCCCCAGGCGCGGCCAGGGGGUGACCCGCACCUGGUAGGCUUGUCGCCUCCUCGUGCGCUUUCCGGGCUACUUUAAUUUUUUUGUAUUUAUCUAAAAAAAUCCAAAACGGAGAAAAAUUCCUACUCGAAAAGUUUUGGAGUCGGUUUACUUACCGAAUCACAUACCUCUUCGUUUUCGGAGUCUGAAACAGGCUAAUAAAUACCCCUUAUAUACUCCUCCGGAGUUAUGGUAUUAAUAAUAUUGCUUUCAACAUUUAUGGGAGUACCUGAGAUAUAAUGCUUGAUUCUUUGCCCAUUUACCACUCUCAAAAAAUUAUCUUCCGUGUUGUUGAUCUUGAUGGCACCGGAACGAUAUACUUCCUCAAUAAUGUAAGGACCUUCCCAUUUAGAGAGAAGCUUGCCUGCAAAAAAUCUUAAACGAGAAUUGUAUAGCAAGACAUAAUCACCUACAUUGAACUCACGUUUUUGUAUCCUUUUAUCAUGCCACCUCUUAACUUUCUCUUUAAACAACUUGGCAUUUUCAUAUGCCUGAGUUCUCCAUUCAUCAAGUGAGCUAAUAUCAAAUAACAUCUUCUCACCAGCAAGUUUGAAAUCAAAGUUGAGCUCUUUGAUUGCCCAAUAAGCCUUAUGCUCUAGCUCAAGAGGCAAAUGACAUGCUUUACCGUAAACCAUUUUGUAUGGAGACAUGCCCAUGGGAUUCUUAUAAGCAAUUCUAUAAGCCCACGGUGCAUCAUCAAGCUUCUUAGACCAAUUCUUUCUAGACCUAUUAAAAGUCUUCUGUAGAAUUAGUUUAAUCUCUCUAUUACUUAGCUCUACUUGACCACUGGACUGAGGAUGAUAGGGAGAUGCAACUCUAUGGUUGACAUCAUACUUAGCAACCGUUUUAUGGAAAGCGCCAUGAAUGAAAUGUGAACCACCAUCGGUCAUUAGAUAUCUAGGGACACCAAAUCUAGGGAAAAUAACUUCUUUAAGCAUCCUGAUAGAGGUGAUCAGCACUACUAGUUGGGAUAGCUUCUACCCACUUAGUAACGUAAUCAACAGCAACUAGGAUAUGAGUAUACCCGUUGGAUUUUGGAAAAGGUCCCAUAUAAUCAAAACCCCAAACAUCAAAUGGUUCAAUGACAAGUGAAUAAUUCAUAGGCAUCUCCUGACGUUUACUGAUAUUACCUAUUCUUUGACAUUCAUCGCAAGACAAGACAAACUUACGGGCAUCCUUGAAGAGAGUAGGCCAAUAGAAACCUGAUUGCAAUACCUUGUGUGCAGUUCUAUCUCCCGCAUGGUGUCCUCCAUAAGCCUCGGAGUGACACUUCUUUAGGAUCUGUCCCUGUUCAUGCUUACGUACACAACGUCUAAUAACACCAUAUACUCCUUCUUUAUAAAGGUGAGGAUCAUCCCAAAAGUAAUGUCUCAAAUCAAAGAAGAAUUUCUUCUUUUGGUGGUAAGUGAAGCUAGGUGGUAUUUAUUUGGCAACGAUAUAAUUUGCAUAAUCAGCAUACCAUGGGGUACUACGUGAAGCAUUGAUGACAUUCAGUUGCUCAUGAGGAAAGCUAUCAUCAAUAGGUUGUGGGUCAUCAAGAACAUUCUCCAACAUAGACAAGUUAUCUACUACGGGGUUCUCAGCAACCUUUCUAUCAACAACAUGCAAGUCAAAUUCUUGUAGCAAGAGAACCCAUCUGAUAAGUCUAGGUUUAGCAUCUUUCUUUCCCAUGAGAUACUUAAUAGCAGCAUGAUCAGUGUGAAUAGUGACUUUGGAAUCAACUAUGUAAGAUCUGAACAUUUCACAUGCAAACACGACUGCUAAAAAUUCCUUUUCGGUAGUAGCAUAGUUUCUUUGGGCACUGUCUAGAGUUUUACUAGCAUAAUGAAUAACAUUCAACUUCUUAUCAACUCUUUGCCCUAGAACAACACCAACAACAUAAUCACUAGCAUCACACAUGAUUUCAAAAGGUAAGUUCCAAUUAGGUGGUUGAACAAUAGGCGUAGUUAUCAAGGACUUUUUAAGUAUUUCGAAGGCUUCCUCACAAUCAUCAUAAAAAAAAGGAAUAUCCUUUUGCAAGAGAUUGGUAAGAGGCCUAGAAAUCUUAGAAAAGUCCUUAAUGAACCUUCUAUAGAAACCAGCAUGAACAAGGAACUUCUUAUACCUUUGAUAUCUGUAGCGCAUGGCAUUUUCUCGAUCGCAUCAACCUUAGCCUUAUCGACAUCAAUACUUCUUUCAGAAAUUUUAUGUCCUAAGACGAUGCCUUCAUUAACCAUAAAGUGGCACUUCUCCCAAUUCAAGACAAGAUUGGUAUAUUUACAUCUUUGCAAAACUCGAUCUAGGUUGCUGUGGCAAUCAUCAAAAGAAGACCCGUAAACGGAGAAGACAUCCAUGAAAACCUCAACAAUAUUUUCACAAAAGUCAGAGAAUAUAGCCAUCAUACAUCUUUGAAAGGUAGCAGGUGCAUUACAUAAGCCAAAAGGCAUACGUCUGUAAGAAAAGGUACCGAAAGGGCAGGUAAAAGUGGUGUUCUCCUGAUCAAAUUGUGCAACAUGUAUUUGGGAGAAACCAGAAUAACCAUCUAGAAAGCAGAAGUGUGUGUGUUUAGACAGUCUUUCUAGCAUUUGGUCGAUAAAAGGAAAAGGGUAAUGGUAUUUCCUAGUGGCUUUAUUCAAUUUCCUAAAAUCAAUCACCAUCCUAUAUCCAGUAAUAAUCCUCUGUGGGAUCAAUUCAUCCUUGUCAUUAGGGACAACGGUAAUACCUCCCUUGUUAGGGACGCAAUGCACCGGACUCACCCAAUCACUAUGAGCAACAGGAUAGACAAUACCUGUUCUAGGAGCUUUAGUAUUUCUUUUCUUACUACCUCUUUCAUCUUAGGAUUUAAUCUCCGUUAAUGAUCGGCAACUGGUCUGGAAUCAGGAUCGGUUUUAGUUUUGUGCUGGCAUAGAGUGGGACUAAUGCCCUUAAGAUCAUCAAGAGUAUAUCCAAUAGCAGCACGGUGCUUCCUCAGAGUUUUCAAUAACUUCUUUUCUGCAUGCUCUGAAAGGCUAGCACUAAUUAUAACAGGAUAUAUCUCUUUUUCAUCGAGAUAAGCAUACUUAAGAGUAUCAGGUAACUGCUUAAGCUCAAACACAGGAUCACCCUUGGGUGGGCGUGGAUCUCCAAGCAGUUCAACACACAAAUUAUUCUUAAGGAUGGGAUGUUGUUCAAAGAUAACUCUUUCUAUCUCAUUCCUUUCAUCCAUAUGCAUAUCAUUUUCAUGCUCAAGCAAGUAUUGCACUAAAGGAUUAGUAGGAGGCACAGCAAUAGAAGCUAGGGAAAUAAUUUCAUCUUUACUAGACAACUCUUUUUCAUGAGGUUGUUUGCCAACCUUGGAGAAAUUGAACUCAUGUGACACACCUUCAAAGCCAACAGUGACAGUUUGCUUCUCACAGUCAAUAUGAGCAUUGACAGUAUUGAGGAAAGGUCUGCCAAUAUGAUGGGACAAAAGCUAUCUUGUGUGGUAGCAAGAACGAGAAAAUCAGCACGAUACUUACUUUUACCACACAAGGCUUCAACAUCUCUAACAAUUCCCAAAUGGCAGAUAGUAUCUCUAUUGGCAAGUUGAAUAGUGACAUCAAUAGGUUCCAUCUCGACAGGUGCAAUCUUGUCUUAAUUUCAUCAUAUAAAGAUUGAGGUAUUGCACUAACACUAGCACCCACGUCACAUAAACCAUGUUAACAAUGAUCUCCUAUCUUAACAGAAACGACAGGCGUGCCAACAACAAGCCUAUGUUUGUCUCUAGCAUGAGGUUUAGCAAUUCUAGCAGCAUCUUCAUAGAACUGAAUAUCAUGGCCCUCAACAUUGUCAGACAGGAGAUCUUUGAUAAUAGCUAUGCUAGGUUCAACUCUAAUUUUCUCAGGGGUGUAGGUGUUCUAAUGUAGCCCCUAUGUAUCAUAGUUGAAGCUUUAGAAUGAUCCUUUAUUCUAACAGGGAAAGGUGGUCUCUCAAUGUAAGCACUAGGAACAAUAGGAUCAUUAUAAGCGAUGACUUUCUCUUCAACUGGAUUGGGUUUAACUACAUUGACUUCUAAGGAAGGAUGAUAUUUAAACCACUUCUAUUUAGGGAGAUCAAUAUGAGCAGCAAAUGAUUCACACAAUGAAGCUAUUAUCUCAGAGUCAAGGUCAUAUUUAGCGCUAAAAUCACAAAAAGUAUUUGUUUCGACAAAGGAUUUAACGCAAUCAAACUUGAGAUUCAUACCUGACUCCUUACCUUCAUCAAACUCCCAAUCUUCAGAGUUGCGUUUAAUUCUUUCCAAUAAAUUCCAUUUGAAGUCAAUAUCUGUCUUCACAAAAGAACCGGUACAAGAAGUGUCAACCAUGGUGCGAUUAUCAUGAGAAAGCCGAGCAUAGAAGUUCUGAAUAAUAAUUUUUCUUGAGAGCUCAUGGUUGUGGCAUGAAUAUAACAUUGAUUUAAGCCUCCCCCAAGCUUGAGCGAUACUUUCUCUAUCACGGGGCCAAAAAUUAUAUAUAUAAUUGCGAUCACGAUGUACCAAAUGCAUAGGAUAAAACUUUUGAUGAAAUUCCAAUUUCAAUCGGUUGUAGUUCCAUGAUCCAGUAUCAUCACAUAGCCUAUACCAUGUCAAUGAUUUAUCCCUCAAAGAUAAGGGAAAGACCUUCUUCUUGACCUCAUCCUCGGGCAAACCUGCAACCUUAAAUAAACCACAAACUUCAUCUACAUAGAUUAGAUGCAAAUCGGGAUGUGAUGUUCCAUCUCCUGUAAAAGGAUUAGCCAACGGUUUCUCAAGCAUACCCGAAGGAAAUUCAUAACAAAUAUUUUCAGUAGGUGCAGCAGGUUGAGGACAAACGUCCUUGUGCUUCCGUUCGAGGUGAAGAUACCCCGAAUAAGCUCCUCAAAGGAUUAGUUUCCAUAGUAACAAGUGACAAUAAAUUUCAGCACACUAUAUAAAUGUUUCCUUACCAAUUUCCACUUACCAAAGGCGCUUCACUCCCCGGCAACGGCGCCAGAAAAUAGUCUUGAUGACCCACAAGUGCAGGGGAUCUAUUGUAGUCCUUUCGAUAAGUAAGAGUGUCGAACCCAGUGAGGAGCAGAAGGAUCUGACCAGUGGUUUUCAGCAAGGUAUUCUCUGCAAGCACUGAAAUUAUCGGUAACAGAUAGUUGUGUGAUAAGACAAUUCGUAGCGAGUAGCAAGUAACAAUAGUAACAAAGGUGCAGCAAGAUGGCCCAAUCCCUUUUGUAGCAAGGGACAAGCCUGGACAAACUCCUAUAGGAGGUAAAGCGCUCCCGAGGACACAUGGGAAUUUAUGUCAAGCUAGUUUUCAUCAUGUUCAUAUGAUUCGCGUUCGCUACUUUGAUAGUUUGAUAUGUGGGUGGACCGGUGCUUGGGUGCUACCCUUACUUGGACAAACAUCCCACUUAUGAUUAACCCCUCUCGCAAGCAUCCACAACUACGAAAGAAGAAUUAAGACAAAGUCUAACGAUAGCAUUAAACUAGUGGAUCCAAAUCAGCCCCUUACGAAGCAACGCAUAAACUAGGGUUUAUGCUUCUGUCACUCUAGCAACCCAUAAUCUACUUACUACUUCCCAGUGCCUUCCUAUAGGCCCAAAUAAUGGUGAACUGUUAUGUAGUCGACGUUCACAUAACACUACUAGAGGAAAAACAACGUACAACGCAUCAAAAUAUCGAAGGAAUACCAAAUUCACAUGACUACUUAUAGCAAGACUUAUCCCAUGUCCUCAGGAACAAAUGUAACUACUCACAAAGCAUAAUUAUGUUCAUGACCAGAGAGGUAGUGAAUAGCGUCAAGGAUUUGAACAUAUAAUCUUCCAUCGAGUAAUCCAACUAGCAUCAACUACAAAGAGUAAUUAACACUACUAGCAACCUUACAAGUACCAAUCGGAGUCGCGAGACGGAGAUUGGUUACAAGAGAUGAACUAGGGUUUGGAGAUGAGAUGGUGCUGAUGAAGAUGUUGAUGGUGAUGAGUCCCCUCCGAUGAGAGGAGUGUUGGUGAUGACGAUGGCGACGAUUUCCCCCUCCGGGAGGGAAGUUUCCCGGGCAAGACGGCCAUGCCGGAGCUCUAGAUUGGUUCUACUCAAGUUCCACCUCAUGGCGGCGGCGAAUCCUCCCGAAAGCCUCCUCCUGAUUUUUUCUGGAACGAAACCCUCGUUAUAGCAAAGUAUAGGAGCCAGAGGGCCAACAUGGAUCCUACAAGCCCCCUAGGCGCGGCGAGGGGGGUAGGCCGCGCCUAGCAGGCUUGUGGCCUCCUGGUGGCUCCCCUUUGGUACUUCUUCCGCCCAGUAUUUUUUAUAAAUUUGAAAAUAAUUCCUCGUUGAUUUUCACGGCUUUUGGAGUUGUGCAGAAUAGGUAUCUGAAACUUGCUCCUUUUUUAGGCCAGAAUUCCAGCUACCAGCAUUCUCCCUCUUCAUGUAAACCUUGUAAAAUAAGAGAUAAAAGGCAUAAGUAUUGUACCGUGAAGUGUAAUAGCAGCCCAAAAAGCGAUAAAUAACAACAUAAAAGCAUGAUGCAAAAUGGACGUAUCUAGAAGCAGAGACCGGAUUCAAGGCGCUUGAGGAGGCCGCCAAGGCCCACGGAGCGAAGCUCACCGACCAUGACUCCGAGCUAGAGAGGGCAGAAGCCGACCAGGUCAUGGAGCGCGGGCGCUUGGAGGCGCUUCUGAGGUCAUGGACAAGACUCGGGAUGCACACGUGAAGCAAGUCUCUGAGGCCAACGCCAAGCUGGCUCCACGGGAAGAGGAGGCCCGGGCCGCUGUUGAUGCGAAGGCAGUAGCGGACCGUGACGCGCUCUCCUUUCUGGAACUCAGGGCCUGCCAGGCUCUAAGCUCCAUCUGCAGGCUGGGGCUUGAUACGUCUCCAUUGUAUCUACUUUUCCAAACUCGUUUGCCCUUGUUUUGGACUCUAAUUUGCAUGACUUGAAUGGAACUAACCUGGACUGACGCUGAUUUCAACAGAAUUGCCUUGGUGUUGUUUUUGUGCAGAAAUGAAAGUUCUCAGAACGUCCUGAAAAUUUACGGAGAAUAUUUCUGGAAAAUAUGAAAAUUACCUGCGCAAAGAUCCACCGGAGGGGAUGGGCCAGUGGGCCACAAGCGCUGUAGCCGCCACCCCCCUUGGUGGCGGCUAGCAAACUUGUGGGGCCCACGUGGCUCUGCCACCCCCAAUGUCAGCUCUAUAAAUUCACUUUCGUUCAAGAAAAAAUAAAAAGAGAAGAUUUCGUCGCGUUUGCGAUACGGAGGCGCCGCCACAUCCUGUUCUUCAUCUGGAGGGCAGAUUUGGAGUCCGUUUUGUGCUCCGGAGAGGGGACAUCGUCGCCAUCGUCAUCAUCAACCUUCUUUCCUCUCCAAUUCCUUGAAGCUCUUCAUCGUUCGUGAGUAAUCUAUUUAUAGGCUCACUGGGCGGUGAUCAGUAGGAUGAGAUCUAUCAUGUAAUCGAGUUAGUUUUGACGGGGAUUGAUCUCUAGUAUCCACUAUGUUCUGAGAUUGAUGUUGCUACUACUUUGCCAUGCUUAAUGCUUGUCACUAGGGCCCGAGUGCCAUGAUUUCAGAUCUGAAAUUAUUAUAUUGUCACCAAUAUAUGUGUGUUUUAGAUCCGAUCUUGCAAGUUGUAGUUACGUACUUUGUGUUACGAUCCGGCAACCCCGGAGUGAUAAUAACCGGAACCACUCCCGGUGAUGACCAUAGUUUGUGGAGUUCAUGUGUUCACCAAGUGCUAAUGCGUUGGUCCGGUUCUUUAUUAAAAGGAGAACCUUAAUAUCCCAUAGUUUCCUUUUGGACCCCACUGCCACGGGAGAGAUGGACAAUAGAUGUCAUGCAAGUUCUUUUCCCUAAGCACGUAUGACGACACACGGAAUGCAUAACUACAUCACAUUAACGAACGGGAGCUAGCCACAUAUCUCUCCGUGUUAUAACUAUUUCAUGAUGAAUAUCAUCCAAACAAAUCACCGACCCAUUGCCUAUGAGUUUGUCCCAUUGCUGUUGUUACUACUGUUGCUGAUGCUGUUACUUGCUCUGCUGUUACUUGCUACUGUUGCUACUUGUUACUGUUGCUACUUUGAUAUCGAUACUUUGCUUGCAGAUAUUAAUCUUUCAGGUGUGGUUGAAUCUGACACAUUCAGCUGCUAAUACUUGAGAGUAUCCUCUCCCUUCCUAUUGGCGAAUCAACAAAUUUGGGUUGAAUACUCUACCCUCGAAAACUGCCUCGAUCCCACGCGUUGGUGGGUUAUUGCAAGACAAUUUCUAAUUGUUGAGCAAUCGAUAACAGCAUUCGUCUAGCUAUUGCCAAAGAGUGCCAAUCAUCAUUUUUCUGGCGCCGUUGCCGGGGAGGUAUUGCUAUAUUCUCUGAGUUACUUGGGAUUUAUAUCUGCUGAUCACUAUGAAGAAUCUGAAGGAUCCGAAAACCAAAGUCUUGCCCUCAACUACGAGGGGAGGUAAGGAACUGCCAUCUAGCUCUGCACUUGAUUCACCUUCAGUUAUGAGUAAGUUUGCGACAUCACCUCCUGCUAGAAACCUUGAUAUGUCGCCUGUGCUUGAUGAUGCUUAUGAUGCUGCUAUGCCUGAUACUACUAGAGAUGCUAUGCCUGAUAUAUCUUUGCCUGAUACUGCUAGAGAUCCUAUGCCUGAUACUGCUUUUCCUGAUAGUGCUAGAGAUACUACUUUGCCUGAUGUUCCACUAGGGGCAUUCCUUGAUGCUCAUAUUGCUAGAGUUACUGCCAAUGCUUGUAAUGCUUCUGAAACUGCCGAUACUAUUGAGAUAGAACCUGCUUUUGCUCGUGCUAGAUCUAGCUCUCCUAGAUAUGAAUUGCCUGAUAUACCUGAGGGUUACGUUAUGGAGGGAGAGAUAGCUGAGGAUUUUGUUGCGUGUAAGGAUGCCUAUGACGCUGAGAAAUUACUUCUCAAGUGGAAGGAAAAAUCUCUGAAAUAGGACCCGAAGUUUGCCACUUCACCUAUCUUUAUCACCGAUAAGGAUUAUGAAUAUCUCUAUCAAUCCUGAGAUAAUAUCUCUAGUCGAAUCUGAUCCUUUCCACGGUUAUGAGUCUGAGAUGGUCGAAGCCCAUCUUACCAAACUACACGGUAUAGCCACCCUUUUCACUAGUGAGGAGAAGAUCCGCCACUACUAUAUCCUUAAGGUGUUUCCUUUCUCUCUAAAGGAUGACGCUAAAGCCUGGUUCAACUCUCUUGCUCCUGGAUGUGUGAGUAGUCCCCAAGAUAUGGUCUAUUACUUCUGUGAGAAAUAUUUCCCUGCCCAUAAGAAGCAAGUUGCCUUGCAGGAAAUAUACAACUUUGCUCAACUCCAAGAAGAGAGUCUCCCACAAUCUUGGGGGAGGCUCGUCCAGCUACAGAAUGCUUUGCCUGAUCACCCUCUUAAGAAGAACGAGAUACUUGAUAUCUUCUAUAACGGACUUACCGAUGCCUCUAGAGACCACCUAGAUAGUUGUGUCAGUUGUGUUUUUAGGGAACAAACUAUUGAACAAGCUAAGACCCUACUGAAUAACAUCUUGAUCAACGAUAAUGCUUGGACUAUUCCCGAGCCACCUCCUAAGCCAACUCCAAAGAAAAGAGGUAUUCUAUUCCUCAGUCCCGAGGAUAUGCAAGAAGACAAGAAAUCUAUGCAAGAGAAAGGCAUUAGAUCUGAAGAUGUCAAAAAUCUACCACCUAUCGAAGAGAUCCAUGGUCUCGAUAACCCGAUACAAGUAGUAGAAGUGAAUUCUCUGCGUAGGUUUGAUGAGAGUGAUAUUCCUUUUGACAAACCUGCUAGCAUAUGCUUUGAUGAAUUUGACAACUUUGUUGCCAAACAACAGAGUUUCAAUGAUUAUGUUAGCAGACAUUUGGAACAAAGUACUCGUAUGCUUAGCCAAUUAAGUGCUUGUGUAGACAGAAAUGUCAAUGAUCUAAAGCUUCUGAGUAAACAUGCCUCUAUGAUUAGUACUCAGGUAGAACAAGUACUUAAUGUUCAGAAUGACUUGCUCAAUGAAUUAAAUGACAACUCUGUCAGAGUCAUUACUAGAGGAGGCAAAAUGACUUAGGAACCUUUGUAUCCUGAAGGUCAUCCUAAGAGAAUUGAUGAAGAUUCACAAGGAAUUAAUGCUGAUACACCCAGACAUCCUAAGGAGAAGAAGAAGGAUGAUAGAAACCUACAUGCCAGUUCACCAAAUACUGUCACACCUGAAGAACCUAAUGAUAUUUCUGCGUCUGAUUCAGAAACACAAUCUGGUGAUGAACAUGAACAUGGUGACAAUAUGGACAGUGAUGUUCAUAAUAAUGCUCAACCUAGCACUGAUGAGGAUGUGGAGAUUGAACCUACGGUUAAUCCUAAUAACCCACAGCCUAAGAGAUACGAUAAGAAUGACUUCACUACUAGGAAGCAUGGUAAAGAAAGGGAGCCAUGGGUUCAGAUAUCUAUGCCCUUUCCUCCUAAGCCAUCCAAGAAAAAGGAUGAUGAGGAUUUUGAGCGCUUCGUUGAGAUGAUAAGACCCAUCUUUCUGCAGAUGUGGUUAACUGAUAUGCUCAAGAUGUCUCCAUAUGCCAAGUACAUGAAAGAUAUCGUGACUAAUAAACGGAAGAUACCAGAUCUUGAGAUCUCCACCAUGCUUGCCAAUUACACUUUCAAAGGUGGAACUCCUAAGAAACUUGGUGAUCCCGGAGUGCCCACUAUACCUUGCUCCAUUAAAGGAAACUACGUAAGAACUGCCUUAUGUGACCUUGGAGCCGGUGUUAGUGUGAUGCCGCUCUCUCUUUAUCGUGGACUUGAAUUGGAUAAGUUGACACCCACUAAAAUUUCUGUGCAAAUGGCCGACAAAUCAAUUGCUUUCCCUAUCAGCAUUUGUGAGGAUGUGCCUGUUGUGGUCGCUAACACUACUAUCUUAACAGACUUUGUUAUCUUGGAUAUUCCCGAGGAUGAUGCCAUGGCUGUCAUCCUCGGAAGACCCUCUUUAAAUAGUGCAGGGGUUGUUAUAGAUUGCAACAAAGGCAAUGUCACUUUCCAUGUCAAUGGUAAUGAGCACACAGUGCACUUUCCGAAGAAACGAUAUCAAGUACAUUGCAUCAAUGCUAUCGAAAAGACUUCAUCGAUUAUUAUUGGGAGAUUUGAAUGCCCUAUUCCUCGUGUGAAGAUGAAGUACGAUUUGCUUGUUGGGGAGAUACAUAUCCCCAUUGAGGUGACUUAGUGGCUAUUCGAAAAUUCUCCGUUCUCUCUUGCGAUUCGAGAAGGUUUUGUCAUGAGGACUUGAUCAACCCGAUUGACGGAUUUCUUUCGAUGACCAUGAAAUGGAUGAAUCAAAGAGUCACAUACCUCUAUUUUGAGCUUUCAUUUUCUGUUGCUUAGAAGAAAAAAUGAUAGGCUUAGUUUAGUUUUUCUUGUUUUCUGUUUUAGCGUCCCGAAGAAAAAUACCCUGAAAAUAAAAGUUCUUCAAUGGUCCUGAAAAUUUAGUAUGAUUAUUUCUGGAAUAUUUGAAAAAUAUUGGGCCUGAGAGCUGGCCCGGGGGCCAGACCAGUGGGCCACAAGCCUUGCAGCCGCCCCCCUGGUGGCGGAUGGCAAGCUUGUGGGGCCCACAGGGACCCCCUCCACUCAUUCCAGAUCCCAUCCUCUUCUUCCACCUCCAGAAAAAAUUGUUUCGCAGCUCAAACCCGUGUUCUUGCUCAUUUGCCUGUGAUUUUCGAUCUCCUUGCUCAAAGCACCAUUCUCCGAACUGUUUUGGGGAAAUUACUCCUUGGUAAGUGACUCCUCCAUUGGUCCAAUUCGUUUUUGCUCUAAUGCUCUAUCCUUCGCGUAUUCUUGCUACCUUGGUGACCCUGUUCUUGAGCUAGAAAUGUUGAUUUUAGCUGGUCCCAAGUAGUUUUAGCGCGUGAUACGGUGUCUAGGCACUGGUAGGAGUAGUUGCUACGAGUUGGGUUAAUCUUUAUUCACUUUUCUUUCGAAGUCUCUAAAAAAAAUUCAGAAUUUUUCAGAGCUAGAAAAGGGAAAAGAUGAGGAGGUUCUUGAGAGGCUCUUCAAGCCGCAACCCCAAGGAGGAUGAGAAGAACCACCCCAAGUACGUAGUCCCUCGAGUCACAGAAGUUCGAGCGUGCGAAUGGCCAAGUGAUGAAUUUUUGCGCGCCGGUGGGCUUUAUGAAGACUUUUAUUACUUGGUGGAGAACGCAGGUCUUACUGCGUUCGUUGAAGAUAAGUGCUCGCAAUACCUCCUCCUCACCAAUAUUUUCGUUCAAAGCUUCAACUUUUAUCCGAGGAAGAAUCCUCCCAUGGUUGAGUUCAUGAUAUACGAUGUCCCCCAGUGCAUGACGCUACAGGAUUUUUGCAAUGUAUGCAAAUUACCUUUUGUUGGGGAUAUCCGUGACCCUCGCCCACGGGACUUGGAGGAUUUCAUUGGUACUAUUGCUGUUGGAGAGGAGAGAGGAGUGUCUCGCACCAGAAUUGCUAGCAUACAUUUUCCUGUGCUUCGGUACUUCUCAUUAUUUGUGGGAAAAUGUUUGAUUGGCCGUGGGGAGGCUGGAUCACUUAGUUCUCCAGACCUUGCGGUUUUGCGUGAAGGCCUUUAUAACGAUAAGACUUAUAGCCUAGGUGCUAUAGUAGCCCAGCGGUUGAACACCAACCGUUCCAAGGGUGUCGUCUAUGGCGGUAUCUAUACUACCCAUCUUGCCAGACACUUUGAGAUACCCAUUAGACUGGGAGAGGAAGGAGAGAUCCUUCUCCUGAGAAAUAUCUGGAUUAUGACAGCAUGGUUCGCCAUGAUUUUCUGGAUAGAGAUGCUAGUAGACGGAUGAUUUAUAACUUGGUAUUUAGUCAGGGUACUCGAGAGAUUAUUACUUUGCCUACUCCUUCUUUGUUCGAUAUUCAUGCAGGCAGGUACACUAUUAUGCCCUCGGACAUCUACGCAUAUUGGGGCUUGGCCCAACCACAGGAGCCCGUGCCCGAGCCGCCAGUCGAGUACCAGACGCCAGUUUAUC
rnacentral:lncRNA from 1 species